rnacentral:lncRNA from 1 species
UGUUUUUUUUUGUUUCUGAGAGGCACGGCCGUGCCUCUCGCGGAAGGAAAAAAAACAGAAAAUAUGUUUCUUUUGUUUCCGAGAGGCACGGGCGUGCCUCCCGCGAAAAGCACAACCGUGCCUCUCGUGGAAGCACAAUUGUGCCUCUCGCAGACGGGAAAAUAACAGAAAACGCGUUUUUUUUUUUUGUUUCCGAGAGGCGCGGCCGAGCCUCUCGCGGAAGUAAAAAAACGCGUUUUUUCCUGCAAAAAUUUCCAAGAGGCGCCAUUUAGGUCUGUACACUUACUGCAAAACUCGGUUUUGGGAAAAGAUCAUGGCCGGUUUUGGGAUCCUUCUAGAAGGUUUUAUUUCAAUUUUUCAUGUUUCUUUUCAAAAAAAAUCUUAAAUGAUUUUUUGCUUAUGUUAUUUUCCAAUCUAAAAAAAUCACAUUUUUUAAAGAUGUUUCGAAAUUUCAAAAUUAAUUAACUUGAGCUAAAAAUGUAUGGUAUUUCAAAUCAUGUUUGCAUUCUUCAUAAAAAGUUCAAAUAAAUCUAAGAGCGUUUGGAAUUUUAGAAAAAUGUUCGUGCUUGUAAAGAAUUUUUUAAACUAUUGGAAAAUAUUUGAAAAUUUGAAAAGUGCCCGUAUUCUAUUUUUUUUUUUAAAUUUGCAUAUUCGGAAAAUGUUUCCAAAUUUUCAAGAAUUGUUCAGUAUUUAAAAAAUAAUGUUUUCUGUGAAUUUUCAGAAAAUAUAAUGUUCUCUGCGGACUUUCCUUCCAUCAUCUUUCUUCAGCUUCAGUCUGCACUCCAUGGGUGUAGUACAGCUAUGCACUCACUCAUACCAGCCACUUCAAGGAUUUUCUCUGCAUAACCUUGUUAAUACAAAGUGAUUCGGUCCUCUGACUGUGUCACCUCGAUCCCCAAGUAGUAACUUAGGAGACCAAGGUCGCUCAUCUUGAAAAGCUACUGCAUCUACUCCUUGAAUGCGAUGAUAUGGGCCUUGUGAGUGCCGGUGAUAAUCAGAUCGUCCAUGUGUACACCCACAAGCAGAUAAGAAUGAGCAUCACCUCGCCGGUACACGGCAUGUUCCAGUGGGCUUCUGACGAACCCAAGGUCGCCCAGCAUUUCAUCCAGUUUGGCAUACCAAGCUCUUAGAGCUUGACGAAGGCCGUAAAGCGCCUUCUGAAGCUUCAGUACUCGUCGUUCACUCCCUGCUGCAGUGUACCCAGGCGGCUAUGUGACAUAAACCUCCUCCACGAGAUCGCCAUUAAGUAAAGCUGAUUUUACAUCCAUGUGGUGCACUUCCCAUCCAGAGUGCGCGGCGAGAGCGAGGAAGAGACUUACUGUCUCCAUGCGCGCCACUGGUGCAAGCACCUCCUUAAAAUGAACCCCUUCAUGCUGAGUGUAUCCCUUCGCCACCAAUCGUGCCUUAUGCUUGAUGAUGUUGCCAUCUGGGUCUCGUUUCACUUUGAAAACCCACUUCAGACCGAUUGCCUUGUGGCCACGAGGAAGAGAAGCGAGCUGUCAGGUUGAAUUUCAGCAAUGGAGUCCAUCUCAGCGUCCAUGGCUCCCUACCAGGCUGCAUCUCCGAGCGCUUCAUCAAUGUUGCCCGACUCCUCAGUGUUGAGCAAGCAGCGCUUCAUCGCCUCGCGCAUAGCCUCCCUCUCAGUCUCGCCGAGGACGCAGGAGAGAAGUCGGUAUCGAAUCGGCCCGGCGUCGACGUCACGUGCAUCGUCAUCGGUCAGCGGAGUGGCCCACCGGAUCUCUGGUGUGGUGGUGGGAGUCCUCAGCUCGGACUGUGACGACCCGGGCGUGUUCGCUGCUGGCGUGGCGGCCACAGAAGACUGCGGCGUCCCUGAGGCUGGUGUAGAGGGUGUCACCAUCCUCCGUGGCAAGACCAGCGAGGUGGUCGAGCCGCUGUUGAUCUCCUGAACGCCAUAGUCUGCGGUGUAAACCACAGUGAAUGUUGCUGGGGCUGCGCUCGUGCCAGGGGCGCUCCAAGUCGAAGGCCUGUUCUCUUCAAAAAUAGUCACGAGUUACCUGGACCUUCUUCGUCGCUGGAUCAUAUGCACGGUAUGCCUUGGAGACUUCUUCAUAACCAACGAACACCAUCGGUGUCGAUCGGUCGCUCAGCUUGGUGAUCUCGGGGCCGACGCGCUUGACGUGAACCGCGCACCCGAAAGUGCGCAGAUGCUGCAAGUUGGGCUUACAGCCAUGCCACGCCUCAUAGGGCGUGACACCAUCCAGCCUCCUAGUCAGCGCACGGUUCAGGAGAUAGACGGCCGUCCUCACCGCCUCCGCCAGAAGUACGCGGCAUACCCAUGCUCUUCAUCAUGCACCGAGCCAUCUCCACCACGAUCUGAUUCUGGUGUUCGACGACUUCGUUUUGCUGCAUAGAGUAUGUGCAGCAGUGAAGUACUUGAUGUUGUUCAGCUCUCAGUACUCCUUGAACUCUGUGGACUUGAAUUCGCCGCCGCGGUCCGAUCUGAACACGUGCAGUCUGCACUUGCCGCCGGCUUCGGCCAUCGCCUGGCCUUUCUUGAAGCGUGGGUAUGCCUCGUCUUUGGACUUCAAGAGCUCUAGCCACAUAUAGUGAUUGUGAUCGUCAGCCACAAGUAGGAAAUACUUGUUACCUCUCGGAGUCGUCGGUCUGAUCGGCCCGCACAGGUCCUUGUGCACGAGCUCCAAGACGCGCUUGGCUCAGUACGCCGGGGCAUGUGGGAACGGUGCGCCAUGUCGUAUCCCAAGGGCGCAGCCGUCGCUGUACUCCUCCACGCGAUCAAUUACGGGCAUGCCGCGCACAAGCUGCUUGGUGGACAUGGUGCGGAGUGCGUGGAAGUGGAGAUGCCCCAUGCGUGCGUGCCACUGCCAGGUUGCGUCGUCUCCUUCCGCCAUCAGGCACGCCGACGGGUCGAUUGUGAGGACGCCAGUGUACAGCUGGUUAUCGUAUUGCUUGAUGCGCGCCAGGACGCGCCACGCCGGAUCAUGGACAGCCAUGACGCCGUCCGCGAUGCUGAUGGUGCAGCCUGCCCCAUCCAACUGUCCAAUGGAGACGAUGUUGGUUCAUAGACUGGGAAUGUAGAAGACGUCGGUGAGACGUGCACUGGUCCCCGCUCUAACAGCGGAAUACCAUGCUGCCCCGUCCACGUAUGGCCACAACAGAGCCAUCCCCAAACUUCACCGUACCGUGCACAGUGUCAUCAAGCAACGAGAAGACAUGUCUGUCGCCCGUCAUAUGACUGCUGGCCACGGUGUCAAAGAACCACAUACCGUCUAGCGAGGGCACAGGCAUGACCUUCUCCUCGUUGAGGUACACCUCUUGAGGCGCCACGAGCUGCGUCGUGUCGACAUUGGUGACCACGGCCAUGUACAGACCCUGAUCGUGCUCGGUGCCGACUUGUACAAGAUUUGUCUGGUCCUAUUUGCCCUUCUCGUCCUCGUCGUUGAGCCAAGUCUGGCACUCCUUUUUCCAGUGCCCCGGCUUGUUGCAGUAGUGGCACUUGCCCUUUUAGUCCUCAUCCUUGAGCCGAGUCCGCGCUCCUUUUUCCAGUACCCUGGCUUGUUGCAGUAAUGACACUUUCCCUUCUUCUUCCUGUCGGAGCCGCACGCGCCCGCGCUCCCCAGCAUGGGCUUGUUGUCGCCCUGAGGCUUGUACUUGCCCGGCGACUUGUUCUUACCACUACCGCCGCCGGAUGAUGACCCGCCAACCCCGUGCUACCGCUCGCAUGUGGCCCACUCUGCGGCGGUGUACAUGAGGCGCACACCGGACUGCACCGUGUCGUCGAGGUUGUAGUGGUAUUCAUGCCGACAGACGCCCUGUCAGCUCCUCGAUCGACAUGUUUUUCAGAUCGAUAUUGGUACUUGUGCGGCACGACGCGGAGAAACUUCUGGACGGCCUUGUGCUUCGUCACGGGAUCGCCAUACGGCUCGAGGUUGGUGACGAGGCUGGAGAACCGCAGCACGAAAUCCUCGACGGACUCGCCGUCCUUUAAGCGGAGCUCCUCGAAUUCUCAAUGGUGAACCCGCGCGUUGGCCUCACGGGUGUGCUCGCUCCCCAUCCGGAGCGCCUUGAUCAUCUCCCAGGCCGUUUUGGCCGUGUCCUUGGUGGCCAGGACCCGGAGCAGCUUCAGCGGCACGCCGGUGAGGAUGAUCUGAAGUGCACGCCUGUCGUCGCUGUCCUCGGCGGUGCCAUUAGUCACCGCAGAUCAAACGCCCGCGAGCUGUAGCUUGACCUGCAUCACAAGAGCCCACUCCAUGUAGUUUGUGCGGGUGAGGACCAUAUUGUUGGCGAAGAGGUCUCGCUCUCCGGCACUUCUCUCUCGACGAUGCCUCCUCAGCCAAUGCGAAGAGGACUGUGGUCUGCGUUCCGUCCCCCUUCUUCUUUCCGUCUGACUCGUCGCCCGACAUGUGUGCCGUGGAUCAAACACCGCCGGCCACCAGAGAGUGGAUCAAACACCUCGCUCGGAUGCCCAUUGUCGUUGUCGAUCGGGCCAGAGAGGGAGAGAGGGAGACUCAAACACGAUGAACUCGAGCUUGAGAGAGUGGGAGCUUUUGUGUUGCUAAUAUUUCACAGCGUUUUCUGUUCUCAUUCCUCUCUGCAUACAUGUUGGCGUUUACAACGAACAAUAAAGAAGCUAAUUACCUCCCGGCGGGCACACCAUGCAUGAUCCGAGACGACCGCGCCAUCCCAUGGCCACAUCUCACAGCGCAUGCGCCCACUGGGAGAGAAAAAGGGAACAACGUGAUCGGUGCAUGCCAGGCACCCGACCCCCUAGCUACGUGCAUGUCCAGAUCACAUCACCCUUCAUGCAUUAUUUGCUACUCCCUUCGUUCCUAAAUAUAAGUCUUUGUAGACAUUUCACUAUGAACCACAUACGGAUGUAUAUAGAUGCGUUUUAGAGUAUAAUUCACUCAUUUUGCUCCAUAUGUAGUCCAUAGUGAAAUCUUUCCAAAGACUUAUAUUUAGGAACGUAGGGAGUAAAACAAAAAACUACUCUACGUGACAUGAGCUUAUCAGGUCUAACACCAGCAACAAGACAUGGUUCGCAGACAUGAGCAUUCAGAGAGACCCCAUCUUCGGCGGCCACCUGUCCCUUACGCCAUUGUUCAUAGAUGAUUGUACCGCUUCCUGGCUCGUCAACAUGGCAGCCUACGAGGCCUGCAUGGCUACCGGAUUUCCAUCAGACAACUUUUUCAUCAGCUUGUACAUCUCCCUCCUGGCAAUGCUCAUGGACAAGGAAGAGGAUGUGCAUGAGCAGCGAGCGAAGCACCUCGUUCGCAGCUUCUUCAGCAACCAUGAGCUGCUCGUUUUCCUCAAGGGCCUCGCUCGCCACCUGCGCCUCGGCAACCGCUACUUUGUCAUCACUGAGAAGAUUGAUACGUACAAGCGUGAAAAGCCUAUGAGCAUCGUCGGGUAUAGUUUCGCCUACAACAACAGCAGAGUCAUCAGAGUCAUGGCUGCCUUUCUCUCUAUAGGUAGCGUGCUCGCAGGUACCUUCAGAACCUUGAUGAGUCUCAAGCAGCAUCAGCCGUAGCAGUUCGAACGAACAAUGUGCAUUUGAUAAACUGAUUUCUGAUUAGUCUACAAAUCGUGCUUAUUGCGGUGUGAUCGACGUCAUACAGUUUCCGUGUGUAAAAUUAUACCAUCACAUCCACCUUGGUUUGAUCCCUUGUUAGAUUUAUAUUACAUGGUGUGAUUUUUCUGAUCACAGUACAGGUAUAAUGUAUAACCAGUAUGUAUACCUCUACUUGUGCUAUCUUUAUAAAUCUGUCUAGUCAAGGGCCAACCCCUUCCCUUUGAUCUUCUUACUAGUUAGGUGUAUCAAAUGUACCUGAAUUUUGUGUCGCUAGUUGUUUGUACCUGAAGUUUGUAUCAUCAGUGGUUAUUCAAGAUAGAUAUCGUCAGCUUCCAAGCCCAGCGCAUUCCUUUUCUUGAUAAAAGCUAGCGCAUUCAUGUUUGAUUAUCUAGCUUCCUAGGCCAGCGCCUUCCUAUUCUCUUAGUUAUCUCUGCCUUUUCUAAUUGGAGAUGUCGAAACAUCAGACUGAAUGAAUGAAUCCCUAAGAAAAUUAGAAUAGAAGAUGCUUGCAGCUGUGAAGAGGAGGAACAAGAAAACAGAGGAAAGCUUAUUAAGAGCAGAGUAGUAAUGUGCCAAAGGUUGGUCCAAUCCAGUAACGAGUAGUAUUUUCUAGAUUUUAGUUUGGGUCUGAGACUGAGUGUAAAUUCGGAUAAAACUGUAACUUUCCUAUGGUUUAGGAGUCAAAAAAUUUCUGUGCCAAUGUUCGCUCAAAGUUUCCUUUGAAACGCCAAACUUCCAAGGCUGGUGGUUUUGCCUGUUUACCAAAAGGUACGCUGGCUUAGAAGACUGGCAGUCACAGAUACAAGCAUCAUAGACAUGCAAAUCAAGUGGCAGUCCUUUUGUUUGAGGAGGGCGUAUCCCUAUCCCUGACAAGGAGGUGACUGAGGCCCUGUUUGGUUCAUAAGUCCUAGGACUUUUUUUAGUCCUAACUUAUAAGUUCCAAGUCCCUAAAAAGUCCCUACGUGUUUGGUUCCUGGGCUUAUAAGUUCCUAUAAGACCAUAUUACAACUAUAAGUCUCUAUAAGUCCCUCCUUGAGAGUCUUAUUUCAUAAGUCCCAAAUGCCCAUUUUAAGUCCCUAUAAGUCCCUCCUGUUUGGUUUAGAUGGGACUUAUAGGGACUUUUUUAAGUCCCUAAGCCAAUAAGUCCCUAGAAACAAACACCCUCUGAGCUCACGCGGUUUUGAUGAAGCCGCAGCAAUCACCAUAGAGAGGGAUAAAAGGCUUCAAAUCAGAGAGAUUUUUAUUAGUCAGGAUCCGUUUUGAGCUACAUACGACCAUCUAGUCGCUACACUCUACUAGAAGAACCCAAUGAGAUCCCAAUCAUUUCAGCACGAUCUCAAAACAAAAUGCAAUGUCUGACGAUCUCAAAACAAGACAACAAUUGUUUGUGUAAUGCAAGGGCGGAUGUGACUCUGGCAUAAAAGGGCACCACACAAACACAAACACACACAGUUUCUGUCAUUCAAGCUCCGCAACUUAAUAUUGACACAAACAUCGUAUANNNNNNNNNNNNNNNNNNNNNNNNNNNNNNNNNNNNNNNNNNNNNNNNNNNNNNNNNNNNNNNNNNNNNNNNNNNNNNNNNNNNNNNNNNNNNNNNNNNNNNNNNNNNNNNNNNNNNNNNNNNNNNNNNNNNNNNNNNNNNNNNNNNNNNNNNNNNNNNNNNNNNNNNNNNNNNNNNNNNNNNNNNNNNNNNNNNNNNNNNNNNNNNNNNNNNNNNNNNNNNNNNNNNNNNNNNNNNNNNNNNNNNNNNNNNNNNNNNNNNNNNNNNNNNAAAUACAUCCGACAGCAAGGUCGUCGAUACACAUAUCAAAGUAAAUCACAACCAAUUACGUAACAAGCAUGCACACAUACAUUUUCAUGCACACAUACGUUUACAUGCACACAUACUUAUUCAGGCACGACACACAAAUAGAUUGAGAGAGAAUCGGUCACGCAACACAUAGCUCAUGGCUCAUGCCUCGGUUUGCACCCAUUGCUGUGCGGAAUGAUGCUCGAGUCGGUGAAGUGGCCCUUGAGCUCCACUUCUUUCAACAUGUCAAGGUGGCAGAUUCCAGAAAGCGUGCCCGCCUGAUUGAUGGCCAUGUUGCGCCAAACAAUCUUCUUGAGCCGAGGGCAAGGUGCUUCCUUGUUGACGGCCAUGUUGCGCCAAAGGAUCUUUUUGAGUUGAGGUAAAUGUGUUGUGCUGUCUUCUUCAAAGUCGACGGUGGUGAUGGUGUCGCCCUCGAUGAUGAGAAACCUGAGGUCUUGGAAUCCAUCCUUGCUGAAGGUGAGCUUGUGCUCGUUGUACGAGUUGUGACGGAGCCGAAGGCAGCGCAAGUGAUGGAGAUUGUUGCCAAGGUCCUGCAGAGAGUCUGUAGAUAGAAAAGUGUUCCACAGUGUAAUCUCAGAGAGUAGAUGUAGCUCGCAGAUCCAGCGAGGCAGCCCGGAGUUGGGAAAGCGCACGCCCUUGAUAUUCAGGCUCUUGAGUAACCUGGGUGCACUUUGCUCCGAUGUCAUCUCCAUAUUCAGAGUGACACUAUGGUCUCCAUUUGUGGGUGGUGGAGUGACCCAUAUUGAGAGAGAGCGUAAGCACUCUCUCAGCUUGGCGAUUGCUUGGAGUAGAUUGUCCAUGCUGUAUUGAGCUUGGCUUUGGCUAUGGACGAGAACCACGCCCAGCUUCCUAAGCUUCAGCAGGCGGCCAACUUCUUCGAAUUCCUUCUUGCCAUACCAAACCUUGACCCGGGAUAGUGUUAAGCGAUAGCGUUGGUUAGCUGUACCUAUUGUUUAGGGAUUGUGUAUAUCCUAACUAUGGCAAGGAUCGGUUGUGAUCCUAGCCUUGCCUUGUACUCCAAACAAUGUAUAUGUUGUUGUCUAUAUAAUGAGAAAGCCCCACGCUGGGCAAAGUACGGCGAAAAUACUCUCGAUCUAUUCGGUUUUAACUCGGUAACAGAGCGAUCGUUCCGAUCCAAUCUCCCGAGGCUGCACACAAUGACUACGCUCGCGCCGCAGCUCUCUGGCACCGCCGGCGCGAUCACCUCCUCCUCUUCCGCUUCCUUAGCCGCCGGCGUUGCCACCUCCAUCCCCACCACCCUCCCUACCACUUUCAACAACACCAUUACCGUCCGUUUAGAUCGCUCCAACUAUCUCCUGUGGAAAACCCAGGUCGUGCCUGCCAUUGCCGGCCAAGGGUGGUAUGGCUUCCUGGACGGGUCUUGCGCCUGCCCUCCCGCCACCAUCACCACGGGGAGCGGGGACACCGCCACCACGGCGGCCAACCCGGAGUUUGCGCGUUGGUGGUACGCCGACCAGCGUGUCCUCUCGAUCCUUGUCGGAUCGAUGAGCGAGGACAUCCUCGCGCAGAUGGUCGGGCGCACCACGUCGGCUUCGGUCUGGGGCUGCGUCACCGACCUGUUUUCCGCCCAAAAUCGGGCCGGGAUCCGUCAGAUCCGUCGCCAGCUGAUGACAUUAAAGAAGAACGACAUGUCCGCCGCCGACUACUACAGCAAGAUGAAGGGGUUUGCCGACGCCAUGGCAAUGGCGGGCUCCCCCGUCCCCGAUGAUGAACUGAUCGACUACAUCGUUGUUGGCCUCGGAUCCCAAUUCGAGGCACUUCAGCAGGCUCUCGCCGUUCUCGGUGCCGCCAAUGCCUCCCUGUCUCUCUCUGAAUUUUACCCCAUGUUGCUGUCUUGUGAGGCGAUCCAGGUGCAGAACGCCCAGGCCGGCGGAUACUCCUCCUCGGCGAACGCCGCGGCUCGGCAGGGUGACAGCAGCCGCGGUGGAGGCCGCCCUUUCGACAACACCGGGCGCUCUGGUGGUGCCCCUUCGCAUGGCAGCGGUGGCCAACACGGUGGUGGCCACUAUGGCAGCGGCGGCUCCUACAACGGUGGCCAGGAAGCUAACCGCAACACAAACCGCAACGGCGGCGGUGGUACCGGCGGACAAGGCGGCGGCAGUGGUGGUGGCAACCGUCGCUGGCGCCCACGUUGUCAGGUCUGCAAGGCAUGGGGUCAUGAGGCCCUCUCCUGCAAGAAUCGCUACAACGACGCCUUUCAGGCCGAUGGACAGCGCUCCGGCAAUGCGGCCGCCUCCACCCACAGCCACAACGAGCGGGUGCCCCAGACACAGCCGUGGUUUUUCGACACCGGGGCAACCGAUCAUCUCACCAAUGACAUGGACCGGCUAGGCAUCCAUGAACGCUACCACGGGAAGGACCAGGUUCAAACAGCAAACGGCUCAGGUAUGUCUAUUACGCACAUUGGUCAAUCUCGUUUAGCUGGUUCUUCCCUAGCCUUGAACAAUAUCCUCCAUGUCCCUUCGUUAGCCAAAAAUUUACUCUCCGUUUAUCGCCUUGUUUCUGACAAUAACAUCUUCCUCGAAUUUCACAAAUAUUUCUUUCUUGUUAAGGACAAGGUAACGAAGAAAAUCCUCCUUCGCGGUAGGAGUCGUGGCGGCCUUUAUCCUCUUCCGUUCGGUCGAGCCUCCCAUCAUGAGAAGCAUGCGUCUUCUGGUGUCAAGCUUUCAUCGCACCACCGGCACCAGCGUCUUGGUCAUUCGUCGAAUAAAGUAGUUCAAACCACUAUCAAGUCCAAUAAUCUCCCGUGUACUCCAAACAAUGAGUCUUUUAUUUGUGAUGCUUGUCAGCGUGCUAAGAGUCAUCAAUUGCCUUAUGGUUAUUCCACUCGUGUGUCUACUGCACCUCUUGAGCUUGUUCAUACCGAUGUUUGGGGUCCGGCGUUAUCCUCUUCUGGGGGUUUUAAAUACUACGUUAGUUUUAUUGAUGACUAUAGUCGCUACUAUUGGAUAUACUUGCUUAAGCAUAAAUCCGAUGUUGAGAAUGUUUUCUAUGUGUUUCAGAAGCACGUUGAGCGCCUCUUAAACACCACUAUUCGCGCCGUGCAGUCUGAUUGGGGCGGUGAGUAUCACCGUCUCCAUGCCUAUUUCCAGCGCACCGGUAUUUCCCACCGUGUGUCGUGUCCUCAUACAUCUCAACAAAACGGUAUUGCUGAACGGAAGCAUCAACAUCUUGUCGAGACUGGGCUAGCUCUCCUUGCGCAUUCCUCUCUUCCCCUCCGGUACUGGGAUGAAGCAUUCCUCACCGCAUGUUAUCUUAUCAAUAGAAUGCCUACCCCAGUCAUUAAUCAUGCCACUCCUCUCUUUCGUCUUCUCAACAUAGCCCCCGAGUACUCCUUCCUCCGUACGUUUGGAUGCGCAUGCUGGCCUAGCCUUCGAAAAUAUAACUCCCGUAAGUUAGAGUUUCGCUCCAAAAUGUGCGUGUUUCUUGGAUAUAGUCCUAUGCACAAAGGCUACAAAUGCCUCGAUUGCAGUACCGGUCGCAUCUACAUAUCUCGCGAUGUUGCUUUCGACGAGAAUGUUUUUCCGUUUGCCACUCCAGGUGCGGUGGUCGACGUGUCUCAGCUCCUACCUGUAUCUUUUCCUCCGAAAGAACCAGUUGUUCAGAAUGAUCAUGCACGUAAUUAUGACAUGUCCUUGUUACCCGUUGAUGCUCCUGGUGUUUCUUCUGUUGUUUCUGUUCAGGUACCAGCCCGGGCGAUCAACGUACACGACGCAGGAACGGCUGACGUGCAUGUGCAUGUCCCGCCCCCCGAGGCGCCCAGUGCUUCGCCUCGGCCCGCCAGCCCAUGCCUGGCCACUGCCUCGUCCUCGCCGAGCUCCGCUUCAUGGGCCACAGUCGCCCACUGCCGCUACUGGGCCCGGCGUGGAUGCUGGAUCGAUUUCUCCAGUGGCCAGCUCCCCUGUACUCGACCAGGGGGAGGAUCUUUCGCCGCCACCCUCUGCCGAUGUCUCCUCUGCGACAUCCUCAGUGCCGCCUGCUACUCCGACAGCACCUCAACCUAUGACGACACGGCAGCGCAACAAUGUGUUCCGUCCGAAGGUGUGGACGGACGGUAUGGUCCGGUAUGACCCGUAUCGCCGCGGAGCGUUUCUUGCUGUUCCGGCGACGCAUCGGGUUGCUCUUUCGGAACCUGCAUGGAGGACCGCCAUGGAGGCAGAGUUCGACGCCCUUCAGCGGACUCACACAUGGGUACUUGUCCCUCGACCCCCCGGUACUAACAUUGUUGGCAGUAAAUGGAUAUUCAAGACGAAGUUUCGCCCUGAUGGCUCUGUUGAUAAAUACAAAGCCCGUCUCGUUGCUCGUGGUUUCACUCAGCAGUAUGGCAUCGAUUAUCAUGACACCUUCAGUCCGGUGGUCAAACCUGUCACUGUUCGUCUUGUGCUCUCCCUCGCCGUGUCGCGUGGAUGGUGUCUUCGCCAGAUUGAUGUCAGUAAUGCGUUUCUCCAUGGUUUCUUGUCUGAGGACGUGUAUAUGCAGCAGCCUCCUGGUUUUGAGGAUCCUCGGUAUCCGCGACAUGUUUGCAAACUUCAGCGUGCUUUGUAUGGUUUGAAGCAGUCUCAUCGCGCCUGGUAUGCCCGUUUAAGUGAUAAACUUCAUCAGCUUGGUUUUGUUUCCAGCAAAGCAGAUACCUCUCUGAUCAUCUUCGAUCAUCAAGGUGUUCAGGUAUUCAUGUUGGUGUAUGUCGAUGACAUUGUUAUCGCUGGUUCUUCGGCUGCUGCUGUUGAUCGCCUUAUUCAGACUCUCGCCGGCACUUUUCCUAUCAAGGAUCUUGGGCGUUUGGAGUAUUUUCUCGGUAUUGAGGCUCAAUAUCGUUCUUCUGGUCUACUUCUUACUCAGCAUAAGUAUGCCCUUGAUCUUCUGCAUCGUGCUAACAUGGAGAGUUGUCGUUCAGUUACCACCCCCAUGUCAUCCACGGAUAAACUCUCUCGUGCUGCUGGUAUUGUGCUUUCUGCUGACGAUGCUUUUAAAUACCGGAGUUUGGUUGGGGGUUUGCAGUAUCUCACUUUGACGCGGCCAGAUAUUUCUUUUGCUGUCAACAAAGUUUGCCAGUUUCUGUCUCAACCGACCACUGUUCAUUAUGAAGCUGUCAAGCGUAUCCUUCGGUAUGUCAAGGGCACUGUCUCUACGGGACUGCAGUUUGCACGUUCUCCUUCGUGUGCUCUCCACAUCUACACUGAUGCUGAUUGGGCUGGCUGUUCAGAUGAUCGGCGCUCCACUGGCGGUUUCGCCAUCUUCUUUGGUCCAAACCUUGUCUCCUGGAGCUCUCGUAAGCAACCCACUGUCUCUCGUUCGAGUACCGAAGCUGAAUACAAAGCCCUGGCUAAUGGCACUGCCGCGGCUACUUGGAUACAGUAUGUGCUGCGGGAUCUUGGAGUGCAUCUCUCCACACCGCCGGUUUUAUGGUGUGACAACCUCGGCGCUACGUACUUAUCGGCGAAUCCUGUCUUCCAUGCACAUACCAAGCAUAUUGAGAUUGACUUCCACUUCGUUCGCGAGAAGGUGGCCAUGGGCGCUCUUGAUGUUCGGUUCAUCGCGUCUAGUGAUCAACUAGCUGACAUGUUCACUAAACCCGCUACUCAUCUCACCCUCCGUCGAUUUCAGUCCAAUCUAAAUCUCGUUCACGUCGGUUCAGAUUGAGGGGGAGUGUUAAGCGAUAGCGUUGGUUAGCUGUACCUAUUGUUUAGGGAUUGUGUAUAUCCUAACUAUGGCAAGGAUCGGUUGUGAUCCUAGCCUUGCCUUGUACUCCAAACAAUGUAUAUGUUGUUGUCUAUAUAAUGAGAAAGCCCCACGCUGGGCAAAGUACGGCAAAAAUACUCUCGAUCUAUUCGGUUUUAACUGAUAGUAUCUCCAUGUCUUUCAUCUUCCCAAUCCUACCAGGCAUACCCGCCCAGCAGAGUGUCUCCUCCUCCGUCCUCAUCUUCAGGCUGGUAAGUAGGUGCUUUAGCUUUCGGAGGUAAAUGUAGUUCAUGUGUCGGCCCCGUACCUUAGUUUCCCAGAUGUCGAGUGUCUCCAACAUUAUGAGAUUGUUGAUCUCCCAGGGCAGGUGGGAGACAUCUGCUUUCCGGAGGCUAAGGUACUUGAGCGAGACCACCUUGCAGAUGCUCUUGAGGUGGCUCUUUUGUAGACCCUUGCAGCCCCCAAGAUCCAGCACGUUCAGCCGGUAGGCUUGGUGAAGAGAAUCGAGGAAGUUGAGCAUGUCAACCAUGGGAUUAGGAUCCACCGCCGUGUUGCAUCCGGCGGCGGCAUCCCGCGGCCGCAGAUGCUCCAAGGGUGUCGUGGUCGUGGAUGAUUCUUCUGUAGUUGCUCUGCUUGCCGUUUCACAAAGCGUCGGAUGCGAAUCUGCUAGUGGAGGUGAGUCGGCAGGUUGUCCACAAAGUUAUCAGUUGUGGACAUACGAUGGAGGAACUUCCAGAUGAUGUCAUCAAUUGUGCAGCUCUUGACCUUGCAGGUGGCAGUGGUUGGGUCGUUGACAGGAAGAAGGAACCCCCGGAAGAGGAGAUCUUUAAAGCAGAGCUCCGCUGCCUCCUCGAGGGAAGCAGCAACUUGCUUCUCCACCUCCUUGAGGGAAUCAUCAACUUGCUUCUCCACGCGGCCUUCAGCGAGCCAUCGCCGGACCAAGCUUGUCCUGCUGAUGGUGGCUUCUUCGUGGAAGGCAUAGAGAUACUGCAAGCAGCUCUUGUAACUCCUAGACAACUUGCUGUAGCAGAAGAUCAUCACUUGAGUGGGAAAAUCUUUGAUAUCCAUGCCAGCAUCCUUGACUAAUUUCUUCAGUUCUCCAUUGGUCUUCUCAACCGCCUGGUAGACAUUGCUAUGAUCCCGAAGAGCACGGAGAAGCAUCUCCAUGCAGACGGCCGCACUCCGAUCUUGCGACAAAUUACUAAGGAGGCACUUACGUACAUCAGUGGCUGCCGAUUGAAGAUCCUUAUUAAUGAGGAGGAUGGCCUCUUUAAAAAAAAAGGGAGUUCCUGCUUCUUCUUCUUCUUCUUCUUCUUGUCACGUGCUAGCGCACGUGCAAAUUCUUCUCUGGCCUCGUCGAUCUUGUCCUGGCUAGGUAGGACCUCGGCCAGCGUCAGCGGGGCCUCCUCAACCGUGGGGAUGAUGACGCCGUAGCGCUCCCGCCUCUGGCCGACGUCAUGGACGCGGGCCUUGAGCUCACUGAUCCUCUUGGCCAAGCGGUGGCGUGCACAACACCUCCAGAGGAGCAUGGGGAGGUACUCGAGGUAGGCCUGAAGGCCCCUGCCGGACGGGCCGGGGAAAUCACGCUUGUAGAGCUCGACACAGUCCUGGGCGAUGUAGGAUAUAUCACGGAUCUACAAGAAUCCAUCUCAGACGUUUUAGGUCGAUUUUGUGUGUAUAUAGGAAACUAAACAGGAGGACUUUACCAACUCAUGGUUGCAAGGGAUUAGUGGAACAUUUCAUCUUCUAUGUAUACUAGCAUAGUGACCCGCGCAAUUGUGGAGGCAACAUCAUAACAUGUCUAAUAUUCUUCACCAAAGAUCGAUGUUAGAAGAAAAGGUACAUACCCACUAAGGUAUUUAUAGUAAUAUAAAAGUACAUAUAAUUUGUUAAUUAUAUAAACUAUUAUAAAUGAUUUCAAAGCUGAGGAAUAAUAGUAUUAUAUGUGCACUCUUUUUUGUUACAGAACCAUUUGCAUCAAUUUUGUAUCCAUAUUUAAGAAUUAUUGUGCCUUACUGUCAGAGCAAUAAAAUAAGUUAAACACAUAAGUUUAGUAAUACAUGUUCAUAUUCACCCUGUUUUGUAGGUAGCGCUGGUUAAACUAUUAUGGCAUUAUAGACUACUUUGUAUUUCUUUUCUCGAAAAGCAAUUGUCUAGCUGACCCAAUCUAUACAUUAAGUGAACAUAUUCAUGAUUGAUCAACGGCUAAGUUCGCCUUCAAGUCUUUUUGACACGGCUUAGGCAUCAGAUUCAUCUAGAGUGUUUUUAUCCCAUCUUAAAUGCGUUUUUCUUUUUUGAUCUUUGUUUUAGGACUGUGUGAUACAGAACCAUAAUGCAGAGAUUUUGUUUAACUUCUGCCGAUUGGGCGAUAAUAAUGGCCUUAAAGAAAUCUAGAAACUCUCUCGCUUUUUUUUCUAAUAAGGCAUAUGUUUCUCCUCAAAUCUACAUAUUUCCUAACCUGCACCUAUCAAUUUUUAUAUUAUAUUGGCCAGUUGACAGUUUGCAUGUGUUUUUGUAUCCAACAAUUGUCGUGCCUGACUUUUAGCGAAAAUAAAAGAAUUAAUCUGACAUAUAAGAUGAGUGGUACAUGCCCAUGUCAGCUUUGAUCGAUUGCCAGGUUGAUAAUUGCUACAUUUUUGUGGUUUUAUAGACUAAUGCUCAAUUUGUAUGUAAGUAUAGUUGGUUGACCACCUCGCUAUACAAUAAAAAAAAUAUGUUUAUAUUGCCAGCAACUGAGGUUUCAAUUUUCUGAAGUCUUGAUCAACCAAGCUUAGCCAUCAGAUUCAUCUCGAGCAUUUUAUUACAUCUUAAAUGUAAACAAAUUCGGUGAAAUAUUAUAACUCAAACUAUGAGUCUGCAUGUCGGCGUUUGUACACUAAUUUGCCAGUCUACUUGUGACUGAUGUUUGAAUAUGGCAUAGACUUGUAAACCAUUAGGUGGAAUAAAAUUUAGGUCGCGGAACGAACAAUCGGACACUUGAUAUUGUUUGUAUUGAUUGAUCCAUCAGAUUUAUUUCACAUAUUAUUGGGUUUACACAUAUUGUUAGACGGAUACACUGAAUUAAUGUUCAUCUCGCGAGUGAGUUGGUUGCAUGGUCAUUGUAGUGAACUGGUAGGUUGAUGUAAAUAAUAUUAUAUCGUGUGCAAUAAUAUUGCAAGUCGGUUAGCUUAGUCGUUUAUAGUGAGAACAAAGGCAUAAAGCAUAGUACCAUCACAUGUUAAAGUAACGUGAAAGAUAAUUUGUAUUCCGUGACAAACUCCAGGCAUGGUCUCUUUGUUGUAUUGGCUAUAUGUUCAAAGCAAGGUAAGCACAAACAUACCGGAGAAUAUGAAAGAGAUUGAGCGCAGAAAUACAUAUUUGGACUCAUAUCCUAAACUGAUCCAUACAUUUGUCAUUAUCUAUUAAAUGUGAUAUCCUUAGAUACAUUUAUAAUAAUUAAUUUUAUCAUAGAUAUAGUUACAGAGACCUAAAUAUAAUUAUUUAAGAAUAUUUAUUAAAUAUACCAUAUGUGGUAUGCUUAAGUAAGUUAUGCAGAUGUAUCUUUUGUGAUAUUUCUACAAACAAUUAGAAAUGUCUUUAUUAUGAUCGAUAAUUCAGCAGGGUCCACUAUAUUAAUGGCUUGAUCAUGUUUAGGUGUACUUCAAAAAUGAACCUAUAUGUGCCAAUUGAACAAAGUUUGAUCCGGUGAACCACAAUAAUGAAGAUGAUGAUAAUAAUAAAUGUAAAAUAGGAGAAAAAUGAAUUUAUUAAUGCCAAAUCCUGAAGGGUAUUAUCUGCAUUUAUGAACAUUUGACUGGCCUUAAGAAAAUUAUUUCUAAAGUGAGGUGUAUUGUUUUGGUGAAGCACAAUUAAGGCAUGAUGAAUGAGUUGGAACUUUUCCUUGGGGGCAUAGCUGCGGGGAGCGACGCGAACGUGGGCGCAGCUAGCUCGCUUGGGGGCAUAGCCGGACCAGCCUUGAGCACGCUACAUCCCUUGGCAGGGCAGGCCAGCAUUGUCGUCAGCGGCGUAUCCCAACCCAGACUGAAACAAUGAGAGGAUGGGGCGGCAACGGGAGGACGCACAGCACGAGGCUCGCGGGCAGCUCGGCAAGAGGCACGGCAGCAUGCUGGCCGGGACUUAGNNNNNNNNNNNNNNNNNNNNNNNNNNNNNNNNNNNNNNNNNNNNNNNNNNNNNNNNNNNNNNNNNNNNNNNNNNNNNNNNNNNNNNNNNNNNNNNNNNNNNNNNNNNNNNNNNNNNNNNNNNNNNNNNNNNNNNNNNNNNNNNNNNNNNNNNNNNNNNNNNNNNNNNNNNNNCCAAAGUGGCUGCCGUCGUUGCGUGAUUGUGGUCAAUGGCGCACGCUCGACUGGAGGGAUUUUGACGACAGCCUGCAAGACUUGCACUAUGACCUGAUGAUGUAGCAAUUUGUUUUCAUUUUGUGCAGAUCACUAUAUUGAGUCGUCCCUGAUUCCUACCUCCAGUGUUGGUGCCAUGGACAGCGAUGGUAUCGAGAUCCAAGAGAUGGUGAGAAAUACGAGGGAGAGACUAGAGGCUGACUUCCCCAAACUUGCAACCAAUAUCCACAGGUUCCCACGAGGCUUAUUACGAGCGGGGAUCGAUGAACGCUAUGUCAUCCCAAGCUUCAUGUCCCUUAGCCCGUACCACCAUGGCUCACCACACCUGUGGGAGACGGAGGAGUUGAAGCACGUGGCAGCCCACUACUUGUGCGAGAUGUCAGGCCACUCAGUUGUGCAAGUCUACGACAAGAUCCAUCAUAUCUUUGUUGAAGCCCACAUCUGCUACGAUCGUGACGCAGUGGCGAAGUUCACCGACUUUGAAUUUGCGGUAAUGAUGUUUCUCGAUGGUUGCUUUACUCUAUAUGAUGGGGACUAAAGGAUGUGCUUUUAAAAAAAAUCAGAUGACCUUGUCCACGGGGCCCUGCAUGCUAAGUGAUAUCAUUCUGUUGGACAAUCAGCUCUCUUGGUUAGUCAUUGAGGGCGUGUUUGGCAGCCGUAGCUCGCGGCCCUAGCUUAGCUCAGCCUGACUCAAAUGGAGGCUAGUUGAGGAAAUGCAGGCUGUAAUGCAACAUCUUCAAAUUGUUUGGUUGCCCACAUCUAGUUCUCUCACAUUAGGGGAUCGCUUAGUGUGUGGAGUUUGGUUGCCCGCAUUGUAUGAACUCACACAUAAGCACAUGUUUGGUUGCACACACAGUGUGAGGUGUGCUAACCAUGUACCCUACACUAGUAGAAAAACAUCUAAUAGUCCCGGUUCGUAAGGGCCUUUAGUCCCAGUUCAUGAACCGGGACUAAUGGGUCGUUAAUAAUACCUCCACCCAUUAGUCCCGGUUCAAACACGAACCGGGACCAAUGUGCCUCCACGUGGCCCUGUGCGCCGAGCCCAGUCAGGGGGCCUUUGGUCCCGGUUGGUGGUACCAACCAGGACCAAAAGGCAUCCACGCGUCAGCCUUCCCGUGGCUGGGGUUUUUGUUUUUUUUUUGAAAGGAGGGGGGUUGGGGGUUUUGCGGGGUUAAUUUAGGUGUUUCAUAUAUUGUGUUAGCUAGCUAAUUAAUAGAGAGAAGUGUCCUUUCUUAUGUCCGUGCUUGGUCGACGCUACGUACUAUAUAUACAUAAGUGAUCGAGAGAACCAUUGAGUACAGAAGUUCGUCAUGCAUACCGAGAGAAGUGAUCGAUCGACCUCUCCUUCUCCGAGAGAUUGGUCGAACAACAAGUUUUCGUAUAUUAUGUAUCUGACGCUACUGGCUACAUACAUGUACAAUAUGUAUAAGAUCUCUUAAUUACAAUCCCCUAGCAAUUGAAAUCACUUUCCACAUGGUAUUAUCCGGCUUUAUUGAUGACGUGGUCAAGAAAGAAUCCCGCCAAUUCCUCUUGAAUUGCUUUCAUGCGAUCUGGUUCUAGGAGUUCAUUCCGCAUCUGCCACGUCUAAUUUGAAGAAGGGGGUUAAUUAAUACAUAUAUAUGAAUGAAACUCAACAGAAAUAAUGGUGUAAUAAAAUGAAAUUAUGAAUAUUAUUGCUUACGCACUUCAUAUUGUCUUUGAGAGUAGCCCCGCUUAUUUUUCAAAGUCGUGUUGUGGAUGAACUCGCACACGUAGUAUCCACAGAAAUCAUUCCCUUCUUCCUACCACAAGCACUUUACGAGAAAUAGAGGUCAAUCAAACUGAUAAUGAAGCAUUAUAAAUGGCAUUGAUGAAAGUAUAGCUAUAGAAUCAACGGGAGAUGCGCGCAACUAGCUAGCCAGUAGUACUUACUUUCGGGUAUGUAUAUCGCAGCUCCUUCGGCAGUCCCGGAGCUUGUGCGGUGAACUGUUUCCAAACCCUGCAAGACAAAGAAAAUAAUUAUUAUUACUUAUGGUGAGAUAAUGAUCGAUUGAACUUACUUGCUGAGCAUUUCAGUCAUGUCCGCAUAGGUUUUGGGAUCUUUCCGUCUCGAGUCUAAGACGGUUACUAGUCCACGCUCAAGCUUAAUCUCCAAAAGAAUAUAGUGGUACAUGCGCACGCAUGCAUAACUCAUCAAUUACAUUACUAUAACCUCGCUCGAGUAAUAAGGGAAACCGAAUAUGCACACGACAGUAACACUCACUUGCCGUUCUAAGGAAAGAGUAUGGUAUCUUUAUUUUGAUUUUUGAUCAACGAUUGUAGUACGUUGUCCUCGGCCUCUUUGACGUCCUUUUUAACCAGAAAUUCAUCUAUGGUAUUUGUGUUAAUGAACCCAAUAUCAUAAAUUUCUUGUUUUUUGCACUCGACGAUCUUCAAUCUGCAUAAUAUAUUGAGGAUAAUUAAUUAUAAAUACAUGAAAUGAAAGAGCCGAGCUAUAUAUAGAGACUUAAUAACAGAAAUAGUACUUACAGACAGUAGCAAAAGACCAUUAGUUUAUCAAGGGCCUUUUGAUUGAAGAACGCGAAGAACUCAUCAAAUGGAACAGUCAACAGAUCAUUUGCAACGAGGUCGUGCUCCUCUUUAAUAUUCAGAUACAAAGCAUUCGUACCCCUAGACUCUCUGCAGGUUUCCAUGUACCAAUUAUGGAAUCUUCGCAUCAUUGUUGUUAGAGAUUUUUCAUCUUUGACGAGAGGCUUCCCGUACUCGUAUCUGUGUUCGUCCACCUCCAAGAAAUCAGAAAGUUGAUCGUCAGGCAGGUAAUCUGCAAGAUUGCCAUAACCGGCCACCGUCCCCAGAGCAUUAGACACAUUGAGCGGGGGGCACGAUUGUUGUGCUUGUUCGCCGAGCUGGGCAAUUUUUCCUCUUUGCUCGUUCUUUUGACCUUUUAGCACUGGCAGUAGUUCCCGACCGCUGGGCUUGGAGAUAUGUCUGUUCAGUAAUGCGCUCAUAGUUGGUUCUCGGUGGAGACUUUGAUGGUUUCCUUAGGGCAUCGAUAGUGCGCUUUGCUUUCACCGGAUCUACCUUCUCCUCCGGAGGUGGAUGUCUCUUUGCUUUCACCCCUUCAAAGAACUCCUUCACAUGGGUCCGCACAAUCGUAUCGUUUUCCUCCUCGGUCCUCUUGUACGGUAACUUCUCUAGAGGCUUAAGAGGUGGACCAUAUCUGUAUUGCCCCCCGCCUCUGGUUGUGCUGCUAGACGCCGGAGCAGACGGAGCGGCUGCGGCAUCUCUCUUCUUUCGUGCUUGCUUACGAGGCAGAGGAGAAGGAGUACGACGUUGCUUGGUGGAAGCCACGCUGCUUCUCCGCUGAGAUGGCGGGGUAGCUUCGGGGGAAGCUUCGGCAGGUCGUUUGCUGCGAUCUGCUGCUUCUCGUUCCUCUUCUCGUUCCUCUAGCCCCAUUACCCUUUCGUGCAGCGCCUGCAGUUGGCCCUGCUACAGUUUCUUCCUCCUCUCGUGGGUUUUGUAACCCCCUGCGUCCGGAAAACCAACCUUCCACGGAAUGGAGCCUGGUGUGCCUCGUGUCCGUCCAGGGUGCUCAGGAUUCCAGAGGGACAUUGUGAGCUUGUCCUUCUCCCUGUCUGGUACGAACGUCCUUUUCUGCGCUACAUUGAUAUAGUGUCGAAGGUUCUUGACUGGUAUUUCUAGUUGCUCGUUCGUCCAACGGCACAUCCCUGAUACAGGGUCCAAGGUUCCGCCAGCCCCGAAGAACCAAGUCCGGCAACGGUCUGGCCAUCUCAUUGUCUCUGGUUCGAUCCCUUUUUCAAGCAGAUCAUUCUCAGCCUUGGACCACUUAGGCCGGGCUUUGAGGUAGCCACCUGACCCCGUGCGAUGGUGAAGCUUCUUCUUCGCAGCAUUUUGCUUGUUCGUCGCCGACAUCUUCUUACUCUUUUCCGAUGUCUUGUGGGCCACAAAUGCGGGCCAGUGAUCUUUGAUCUUCUCAUAUUUGCUGAUGAAUUCUGGUGUCUUUUUUUUUUGACAAAAUGGUUCAACUCUUUCCUCCACCUCCUGAAUAGGGUUGCCAUCUUCUUAAGAGUACAAGACUUGAUUAAUUGCUCUUUAACUGGCUUCUCCGGAUCCUCCUCUGGCGGUAGGGUGAAAUUUGCCUUCAGCUGAGUCCAAAGAUCUUCUUUCUGCAUAUCAUUGACAUAAGACACCUCAGGGUCGUUCUUAGGCUUAUACCAUUGGUGGAUGCUGAUCGGGAUCUUGUCCCUAACAAGAACCCCGCACUGAGCAGAAAAUGCGUUCUUUGUCCGGAUGGGUUAUGUGGUAGCUAUGUUAAUUGAUGCAUUCAUUCUUCAGGACUCGUCUCCUUACCGAAGUUGUGCUCGAUCCGGAGGGCUAGAAAUUAAAAGGAAGAAAGACGAGAGUAAUUAAUAUGUGUACAUAUACCAAAACAAUGAAUGCAUCAAUUAACUAGUCAGCACAGGCUUAACUAAUAUAUAUAUACUUGGCCGAACUCGGUUCGGUCACCGGAGCAGCCAGCACGGUCUCCUUCUUGUACCUCCAUUGGGUCAUCACCGGAGCCAUCAUGAACAUAGCCCUCUUCUUGUACCGGAAUUAAUGGGCCGGAGCCAUCAUGAACAUAGCCCUCUUCUUCACCCAGUCCUUCCUCACCAACGACGUCGAUGAAAAAUGACGCAACAACAUCAGUUCCUUCUGCGAUCAUCUCCCCCAACAUCGCUUCUGUUGCUUCGUCUCGGUAGUGCUCCAUAGUUUCUGCAAAUAUUUACAACAUGUCAAUUAUUAUUCAAAAACAUGGUACAGAUGGAUAUAUAUUAGUGGCAAACGUAGAAUUAGCUAGCUAAUCACAAUAAGGAAUCAUGUUAGUGGCCUCGACGCUACUUCUCUAGGGUUUGGGAUCGCCUCGACACAACGCUUCAAGGGUUUGGGGUGGCCUUGACGACAACGCACUUUUAACUUGGUAAAUUUGGGUGGCCUCGAGAGUUUUGGUCGAGCGAGAGGGCCGAGGGGGGUGCUGCCGUUGUAUAGGUUAUCACGGUCGAGAGGGGGUAUAUAUAUAGACCGCCCUUCAUGUCGAAGUUAUCUCGAAGGGGCGGCGAGGGCGAAGACGAGCAGCAUGACGGCGACAGACCCGAUAAAACAUAAGAAAACGAAGAAGAGAUAAAAAGAGGAGAAGAAGAAAGGAAUAGAGGAGAAGAUCGAAGAAAAAAAAGAAGAAAAAAAGAGGAGAAGAAGAAAGGAAUAGAGGAGAAGAAGAAAAAAAUAGAAUUCUAAUUUUUUCUUCUUCUCCUCUAUUCCUUUCUUCUUCUCCUCUUCCUUUUCUUCUUUUUUGUUCUUCUUAUUUAUUUCUCCUCUAUUCCUUUCUUUCUUCUUCUCCUCUUAUUUUUCUUCUUCUCCCUCGAGAAAGGAAAAUAAUUGAGGAAAAGGAAGAAAAGAGGAAGAAGGAAGAGAAGGAAGAAGAAGAAGAAAGGAAUAGAGGACAAGAAGAAAAAAUAGAAAAAAAUCUAUUUUUUCUUCUUCUCCUCUUCUUUUUCUUCUUUUUUCUUCUUCUUAUUUAUUUCUCCUCUUCUUUUCCUCUCCUCUUCUUCUCUUUUCUUCCUCUUCUUAUUUUCCUUUUUCCUCUCAUUCUUUUUCUUCUUCUUCUUUCUUCUUCCUUCUUCCUCUUUUCUUCCUUUUCCUUAUUUUACUUUUUCCUCUACACUAACCUAAUUAAAAUGCACUAACCUAAAAUCGAUAUCUACUAACAACCUAAAUAAAAAUUAAUACAUAUAUGAAAAAACAUAUAUAAACAAAAAAAUGCUAUGAACAUUAUAUUCAUACAUAUAUAUAGCCACAUCCAUUCAUCAUAUAGCUACCACAUACAUAUAUACAUUAAUUAUAUAUAUGAAAAAAAAUGCAAUGAACAAAAAAAUACACAUGUAUGUAUGAAAAAAAGCACUGAACACAUAGCCUCGACGGCGGCGGCGCACAACGGGGGCGGCCGGCGAGGGCGACGGCGGCGGCGGCGACGACCACGUACGGCGNNNNNNNNNNNNNNNNNNNNNNNNNNNNNNNNNNNNNNNNNNNNNNNNNNNNNNNNNNNNNNNNNNNNNNNNNNNNNNNNNNNNNNNNNNNNNNNNNNNNNNNNNNNNNNNNNNNNNNNNNNNNNNNNNNNNNNNNNNNNNNNNNNNNNNNNNNNNNNNNNNNNNNNNNNNNNNNNNNNNNNNNNNNNNNNNNNNNNNNNNNNNNNNNNNNNNNNNNNNNNNNNNNNNNNNNNNNNNNNNNNNNNNNNNNNNNNNNNNNNNNNNNNNNNNNNNNNNNNNNNNNNNNNNNNNNNNNNNNNNNNNNNNNNNNNNNNNNNNNNNNNNNNNNNNNNNNNNNNNNNNNNNNNNNNNNNNNNNNNNNNNNNNNNNNNNNNNNNNNNNNNNNNNNNNNNNNNNNNNNNNNNNNNNNNNNNNNNNNNNNNNNNNNNNNNNNNNNNNNNNNNNNNNNNNNNNNNNNNNNNNNNNNNNNNNNNNNNNNNNNNNNNNNNNNNNNNNNNNNNNNGGGCGGCGUCAGGGGCGCGCGGACGGAAGCGGGGCGGCGCGCGAACGGCGUCUGGGCGGCAGGCGCCGUCGGGGCAGCGGACGGCGUCGAUCUGGGCAGCCUGGCGGUGUCGAUGAGCUCGGCGUCGUCGGGCGGCAACUGGCGAUGUGUUCGUCAAAUUUUCCUAAGUGUUGUAUAUAUAGCAAGGGCAUUGGUCCCUGUCCGUGACUCCAACCGGGACUAAUGCCCCCGUUAGUCCCGGUUGGUACCACCAACCGGGACCAAAGGCCUCUUUUCAGCAGCCCAACGGGCGGGAAGCGGCGACCUUUGGUCCCGGUUGGUGGCACCAACCGGGACUAAAGGGUGGGCAUUGGUACGGUUGGUGCCACGAACCGGUACCAAAGGACCCUGUGCUGCCAGCGUCGGGGCCAAAGUUUAGUCCCACCUCGCUAGUUGAGAGGGGCGCGCAGUGGUUUAUAAGCUCCACUGCUGCACCCCUCUCGAACUCCUCUCCUAGGCUUGCGGGCCUAUUUGCUACUGCUUUGCCUGAUGGGCCUGCUGGGCCUACUGCGGGCCUGAAUCCUGGCCUAUGGUAGGGUUUCUAGUCGUAUUCAGGCCAUGGGGGCCCAGUAGGAGGCAUUUUUUUGUUUUCUUUCUUGCUUUAUUUAUUUUAUUUUGUUUCUACUUACAACAAAAUACUUAUUGUUGCUAUUUUUAAUUAUUUUCUAGUUUUUUUGUUUUGUUUUCUGCAUUAUUUAUUUUCUUUUGUUUUUUGCUUUAUUUUUUAAUUCUUUUUGCUUUUAGUUUUGGAAAAAUUAUAAACUUUCUGUUAGUGCCAUUANNNNNNNNNNNNNNNNNNNNNNNNNNNNNNNNNNNNNNNNNNNNNNNNNNNNNNNNNNNNNNNNNNNNNNNNNNNNNNNNNNNNNNNNNNNNNNNNNNNNNNNNNNNNNNNNNNNNNNNNNNNNNNNNNNNNNNNNNNNNNNNNNNNNNNNNNNNNNNNNNNNNNNNNNNNNNNNNNNNNNNNNNNNNNNNNNNNNNNNNNNNNNNNNNNNNNNNNNNNNNNNNNNNNNNNNNNNNNNNNNNNNNNNNNNNNNNNNNNNNNNNNNNNNNNNNNNNNNNNNNNNNNNNNNNNNNNNNNNNNNNNNNNNNNNNNNNNNNNNNNNNNNNNNNNNNNNNNNNNNNNUUUUGUUUGUACUUACAACAAAAUACUUAUUGUUGCUAUUUUUAAUUGUUUUUUGUUUUGUUUUCUACAUUAUUUAUUUUCUUUUGUUUUUUGCUGUAUUUUUUAAUUCUUUUUGCUUUUAGUUUUAGAAAAAUUAUAAACUUUCUGUUAGUGCCAUUAGUUUUCAAAUUUGAAAACACUUUUUUUGUUUUUUUGUUUUCUUUCUUGCUUUAUUUAUUUUAUUUUGUUUCUACUUACAACAAAAUACUUAUUGUUGCUAUUUUUAUUUAUUACGAGGGCCGAACCAUAAGACAUUAAAGCAUUUCAAAUGAACUCUGAAAAAGUUGAAAGUUGGCAUGGUAUCAUAAAUUCACCCACACAUAGCAUGUGCAUGUACAAAACGGACAAUGGUAUCAUACUCGUGUGUUACAAAGUUGGCAUGGUAUCAUCAUAAUAGUUGCGGGAGGAAGUCAUCACUUUUUCUUCGCUUGUGUCAUUUGCUUAUUGCGCCGUAACCAUGGAUAAUCUUCAUCGCUUAUGAGGAUGUUGGGGUCAGCCUCGACUUUGAAGGGAGGAAUUUCAUGAAACUUUUCAUAAUCUUCAGAUAUGUCUAUCUUGCCCUCCACUCCCACGAUGUCCCUUUUUCCUGAAAGAACUAUGUGGCGCUUUGGCUCAUCGUAUGAUGUAUUCGCUUCCUUAUCUUUUCUUUUUCUCGGUCUGGUAGACAUGUCCUUCACAUAGAUAACCUGUGCCACAUCAUUGGCUAGGACGAACGGUUCGUCAGUGUACCCAAGAUUUUUCAGAUCCACUGUUGUCAUUCCGUACUGUGGGUCUACCUGUACCCCGCCUCCUGACAGAUUGACCCAUUUGCACUUAAACAAAGGGACCUUAAAAUCAUGUCCGUAGUCAAGUUCCUAUAUGUCCACUAUGUAACCAUAAUAUGUGUCCUUUCCCCUCUCGGUUGUUGCAUCAAAGCGGACACCGCUGUUUUGGUUGGUGCUCUUUUGAUCUUGGUCAAUCGUGUAAAAUGUAUUCCCAUUUAUCUCGUAUCCUUUCCAAAUCGUAACAGUCGAAGAUGGUCCCCUGGACAACAAGUACAGCUCAUCACAAACAGUGUUGUCACCUCUGAGACGUGCUUCCAACCAACUGCUGAAAGUCCUGAUGUGUUCACAUGUAAUCCAGUCGUCGCACUGCUCCGGGUGUUUGGAGCGCAGACUGUUCUUGUGUUCAUCGACAUACGGGGUCAUCAAGGUAGAGUUCUGUAGAACUGUGUAGCGUGCUUGAGACCAAGAAUAUCCGUCCCUGCAUAUUAUUGAGUCCCUUCCAAGCGUGCCUUUUCCAGUCAAUCUCCCCUCAUACCGCGAUUGAGGGAGACCUAUCUUCUUAAGGCCAGGAAUGAAGUCAACACAAAACCCGAUGACAUCCUCUGUUUGAUGGCCCAUGGAGAUGCUUCCUUUUGGCCUAGCGCGGUUACGGACAUAUUUCUUAGGACUCCCAUGAACCUCUCAAAGGGGUACAUAUUGUGUAGAAAUACAGGGCCCAGAAUGACAAUCUCGUCAACUAGAUGAACUAGGAGGUGUGUCAUGAUAUUGAAGAAGGAUGGUGGGAACACCAGCUCGAAACUGACAAGACAUUGCACCACAUCACUCCUUAGCCUUGGUAUGAUUUCUGGAUCGAUCACCUUUUGAGAGAUUGCAUUGAGGAAUGCACAUAGCUUCACAAUGGCUAAUUGGACGUUUUCUGGUAGAAGCCCCCUCAAUGCAACCGGAAGCAGUUGCGUCAUAAUCAUGUGGCAGUCAUGAGACUUUAGGUUCUGAAACUUUUUCUCUGACAUAUUUAUUAGUCCUUUUAUAUUCGACGAGAAGCCAGUCGGAACCUUCAUACUAAGCAGGCAUUCAAAGAAGAUUUCCUUCUCUUCUUUGGUAAGAGCAUAGCUGGCAGGACCUUCAUACUGCUUUGGAGGCAUGUCGUCUUUUUCGUGCGAACGUUGCAGGUCCUCCCGUGCCUCAGCUGUAUCUUUUGUCUUCCCAUACACGCCCAAGAAGCCUAGCAGGUUCACGCAAAGGUUCUUCGUCACGUGCAUCACGUCAAUCGAAGAGCGGACCUCUAGGUAUUUCCAGUAGGGUAGGUCCCAAAAUAUAGAUUUCUUCUUCCACAUGGGUGCGUGUCCCCCAGUGUCACUCGGAACAGCUAGUCCGCCGGGACCCUUUCCAAAGAUUACGUGUAAAUCAUUGACUAUAGCAAGUACGUGAUCACCGGUACGCAUGGCGGGCUUCCUCCGGUGAUCUGCCUCGCCUUUGAAAUGCUUGCCUUUCUUUCGACAUUGAUGGUUGGUCGGAAGAAAUCGACGAUGGCCCAGGUACACAUUCUUCCUGCAGCUUCCCAGGUAUAUACUAUCGGUGUCAAGUAAACAGUGCGUGCAUGCGUGGUAUCCCUUGUUUGUCUAUCCUGAAAGGUUACUGAGAGCGGGCCAAUCAUUGAUGGUCACGAACAACAACGCCUUUAGGUGAAAUUCCUCCUGUUUGUGCUCAUCCCACGUACGUACACCAUUUCCAUUCCACAGCUGUAAAAGUUCUUCAACUAAUGGCCUUAGGUACACAUCAAUGUCGUUGCCGGGUUGCUUAGGGCCUUGGAUGAGAACUGGCAUCAUAAUGAACUUCCGCUUCAUGCACAUCCAAGGAGGAAGGUUAUACAUACAUAGAGUCACGGGCCAGGUGUUGUGAUUGCUGCUCUGCUCCUCGAAAGGAUUAAUGCCAUCCGCACUUAAAGCAAACCAUACGUUCCUUGGGUCACUUGCAAACUCAUCCCAGUACUUUCUCUCGAUUUUUCUCCACCGUGACCCGUCAGCGGGUGCUCUCAACUUCAUGUCUUUCUUGCGGUCCUCACUGUGCCAUCGCAUCAACUUGGCAUGCUCUCUGUUUCUGAACAGAUGUUUCAACCAUGGUAUUAUAGGAGCAUACCACAUCACCUUCGCAGGAGCCCUCUUCCUGGGGGGCUCGCCGUCAACAUCACCAGGGUCAUCUCGUCUGAUCUUAUACCAUAAUGCACCGCAUACUGGGCAUGCGUUCAGAUCCAUGUACGCACCGCGGUAGAGGAUGCAGUCAUUAGGGCAUGCAUGUAUCAUCUGCACCUCCAAUCCUAGAGGGCAUACGACCUUCUUUGUUGCGUAUGUACUGUCGGGCAAUUCGUUAUCCUUUGGAAGCUUCUUCUUCAAUAUUUUCAGUAGCUUCUCAAAUCCUUUGCCAGGCACAGCAUUCUCUGCCUUCCACUGCAGCAAUUCCAGUACGGUAUCGAGUUUUGUGUUGCCAUCUUCGCAAUUGGGGUACAACCCUUUUUUGUGGUCCUCUAACAUGCGAUCAAACUUCAGCUUCUCCUUUUGACUUUUGCAUUGCGUCCUUGCAUCGACAAUGACCCGGCGGAGAUCAUCAUCAUCGGGCACAUCGUCUGGUUCCUCUUGAUCUUCAACAGCUUCGCCUAUUGCAGCAUCAUCGUGCACAUCGUCUGGUUCCUCUUGAUCUUCAGUAGCAUCACCGUAUUCAGGGGGCACAUAGUUGUCAUCGUACUUUUCUUCUUCGCCGUCUUCCAUCAUAACCCCUAUUUCUCCGUGCCUCGUCCAAACAUUAUAGUGUGGCAUGAAACCCUUGUAAAGCAGGUGGGAAUGAAUGAUUUUCCGGUCGGAGUAAGACUUCGUAUUCCCACAUAUAGGGCAUGGACAACACAUAAAACCAUUCCGCUUGUUUGCCUCAGCCACUUCGAGAAAUUCAUGCACGCCCUUAAUGUACUCGGAGGUGUGUCUUGAACCGUAUAUCCAUUGCCGGUUCAUCUGCAUGCAUUAUAUAUAAUUAAGUGUGUCAAAAAUUAUUAUAGAACAUCAUGAAUAGAUAAUUAAGUGACCAAAUUAAUAGAAGUUCAUCAUCACAUUAAAACCAAAGUACAUACAUAGUUCUCAUCUAACAACAUAAAGCUCUGCAGAGCAUCUAAUCUAAAUAAACCAUACAUUGAAACUAUGUAAAACAUUUCAAUGCGAAAACAAAUGCGAUCAUAAUCGCAACCAAUGUAACAACUGAUCCAACGGCAUAAUGAUACCAAGCCUCGGUAUGAAUGGCAUAUUUUCUAAUCUUUCUAAUCUUCAAGUGCAUUGCAUCCAUCUUGAUCUUGUGAUCAUCCACGACAUCCGCAACAUGCAACUCCAAUAUCAUCUUCUCCUCCUCAAUUUUUCUAAUUUUCUCCUUCAAGAAAUUGUUUUCUUCUUCAACUAAAUUUAACCUCUCGACAAUAGGGUCGGUUCGAAUUUCCGGUUCAACAACCUCCUAGAUAAAUAAAAUCUAUGUCACGUUGGUCGGCAUAAUUGUCAUAAACAAUAGAUGAAACAAUAGUUAUGAAAAGAUAAUAUAUACCACAUCCGAAUCAUAGACAGGACGAGGACCGACGGGGGCGGAUACCAAAACCAUCGCACUAUAUAAGAUGCAAUAAUAAAAGUAAGAAAAUUAUACAAGUAUCUAUAUAAACAUACAAGUAAGAAUAUUUUUUUCCUUUCAGAAAGAAGAUAAGAACAAGAGGCUCACCACGGUGGUGUCGGCGACGAGAUCGGCGCGGGCGAUCGACGGCGGUGAAGACGGGGACAGGACGUGACAGACCGCUAAACCUAGACAAAUAUUGAGGAAAAUGGAGCUUGGAGGUCAAGCUUGGAGAGGAGAAAGCUUAAGUAGUGUGCCUCGGGCAUUCCAUCGAACACCUCGUGUGCAUAGGAGGUGAGCUAGAGCACCACAAAGCUCUCUCCUCGCCGGCCACGAAAAAUAGAGCAAUGAGAGUGCUCUGCUCACGGGCGAGGGGUAUAUAUAGGCAAUUAAUUGGUCCCGGUUCGUGACUUGAACCGGGACUAAAGGGAAGCCUUUGGUCCCGGUUCAGGCCACCAACCGGGACCAAUGGUGGUGGGCCAAGACCAAGGCACAUUGGUCCCGGUUCGUCCCUCCAACCGGGACCAAAAGGUCCAGACGAACCGGGACCAAUGGCCCACGUGGCCCGGCCGGCCCCCGGGGCUCACGAGUCCAAUGCCCCCAUUGGUCCCGGUUCUGGAUUGAACCGGGACUAAUGGGCUGACCCGGCCUGGACCAUUGCCCCCUUUUCUACUAGUGCUAUGUGGUGAGGUUAUAUUACACAUGGUCACAUCUAGCACGCCAACGCCAUAGCACUUCAAUGGUGACGAACUGCACAAUGAUGAUGAAGUUCUUCACUGCAAGGCGUGGCGCCGGCUUGGCAACUGUCAUGUUGCCUAUUUUAACCACACCAACUCUGUGCUUUCGCACGUAGUUGGCGUAAGCUUCUUCCGUCACAUGCCUUGUCUUGAACCCUCUAUGGCUACUGUUAUUGUAAGAUGCCACUUGUUCACUGCAAGCUUCCCAUGAACUGUAAACCCCUGGUGCCCUCCCGAGUCCCUACGAACACCGCAUAUCAUUUGUCCUAGCAGUCCACAAGAGUAGCAGUUGAAGUAGCAAGAAAAAGAACAAUCAAGAAGCAAGCAAUGAAGUAGAAGUAGUAAGCAUGCAUGAUCAUAUGACAUAGCAAGUUCUAACCUAGCACUACUAUGGUGUCAUCCUACCGUCACCACAUCCAAAAGAGGGUGUCAUCCUACCACCGCAAGUUCAUGAUCACCCUGAGGAUCACCGUGAGGGGUUAGUAUAUACCACCUCACCAAAAUAUACAGACCAUCAGAUUGUUUUCAAGCCCUAGAUACACAAAAUAUACAGGCCAUCGCCGUCGAGAAUUAUGCAUGUGGCACCAGAAGCAAGCUCUAGUACUAGUUCUUGCCCAGCUAGCUCCUGGGCCACAACACCCUGUGGGCGUCUGCCAUGGCAACAAACCCAACACCCUGGGCCUUGUUGUCCAGGAGGUGGCUGAAAGCUGCCAUGAGAGCCUCGUCGCUGAAGCAACCUUGAUCCAUGGCGGCGAUGUAUAGGCAGGGUGGACGUUGAUGGCCUUUCUCUCGCUAAUGGCGGUUGCCACCUCCUUCACUGUCUCAGUCAUGCUGCUGAAGACAUUGAUCUCCUCCUCCAUCAGGUUGCCCCUCUUCCUCGUGCUAUCGAGCACACAGGGACAUGCUCAAAUGGCUUGUUAGGGCCAUCAAGGACUGCCUCUACAUCCGGAUUGCCUGGGAACACCGGCAUGUGAGAACCGAGAGGCCACCGAAGCCCAUGGCAUGCUUGCCAGUUGCCAUGCCGAAGGAAAAGAUGUCCUGCAUCUGGUUGUGGUUCUACAUGGGUGUGUUGAGGAACUCAGCAUCCUUGGUGUGGUCCUAAGAUAGAAGCAGAAGGGUUGUUAGUUGCUACAAGGUAAUGACAAUCUGCAAAACAAGAGGAUAGUGAGAUAAACGCGGCAUGGUUGGUGUAGUGCUCUGCCUCUAGAAUAUAUUUGGCCAUGGGCCGGGCCGGGCCGGGCUUGAAAAAUCCCACGGCAGAAAACUGAGGCCCAGGCCCUCCCAAGCCCAAUCACUGGGCCUACUUUUCAAGCCCAAGCCCGGCCCAUCUGGUAAAAAUCCCUAAAAAUCCCUUAGGGCUUAGGGCCGUGGGCCGGGCCUCUUCCUUAAAAUGACAAUAUGCCAAGCCCAAGCCCGUCCAGGCCCUACUGAUGGGCUCAAAACUCAGGCCCAAGCCCGGCCCAUGGGCAAGCCCAUCGGGCCUAGGCCCUGGAUUUUAGGGCCGGGCCUGGGUAGGCCGACAGGGCCGGGCCUGAGAUGGCCAGGACUACUCCAGAACGAUAGAGCAAGUGCUCUGAUCCUAGGAGGCGCCGCUAAGGUCUCUGAGCUUGGAUACUUGGAUCCAUCGAGCUCUCCGCUUCCUCAGGUGGUUGUACACCUGGGUGGCGGUCACCUCCGGGCCACAUAACUCAAAUACCUACUUCGCAACGGUGUUCAAGUGCACCUCCUUGAAGCCCUUGUCAGUCCUAACCCACUAGAGAUGAGCGCGCACAUCUUGUUCAGCACGAACAUGGACAUGAACGGUUGCCACUUCAUGUUGUUCCCCCUACCAUCCUUCUUGGCCUUCAGUGCAGCGGCAGCAAAUUGGCUCAACAAGCACAAUAGGCACAAAGCAAGAAGGUGAAACCUCAAACACCUCUGAAUCAGCAGGCAUGUUCUCAUCGACGAGGGUCUGCGAGUCCUCGACAUAGGAGGCCACAAACUGGUUGUCUGACAGUAGAUAUAAUGCAAAACCAAAAUAAGAAUAGGUUUACUACAGUACUUAUAGUAGUGGUUUGUUUUAUUACACUAACAGAUCUCAUGAAGGUUUUGUUUGAGUUUUGCGUGAUUGAAGUUUUGAAGUUUUGGGUGAUCUUACGAUGGAUGAAGGAAUAAGGAUUAGCAAAAGGCUAAGCUUGGGGAUGCCCGAGGCACCCCAAGACAAUAUUCAAGAAGUAGCAAGCAACUAAGCUUGGGGAUGCCCCGAGUGGCAUCCCCGCUUUCUUCUAACAACCAUCGGUAUUUUACUUGAAGCUAUAUUUUUAUUCGUCACAUAAUAUGAGUUUUGCUUGGAGCGUCUUGUAUGAUAUGAGUCUUUGCUUGUUUUGCUUUGUGUUCUAAGUAUUGAAUCCUUGCUGGACACACCUUUUUGAGAGAGCCAAAAAUUAUUCUAUGCUUGCUCCUAUGCUUCACUUAAAUUUUUAGAGCCAUGGAUUUGCUCUAGUGCUUCACUUCUAUCUUUUUGAGCACGGUGUGCUUUGUUAUUUUUGAAGAAAUGCUCUCAUGCUUCACUUGGAUUUAUUUGGGAGUUAGUAAAAUUUGAAGAAAUUCUCUCUUGUUUCACUUAGAUUAUUUUGAGAGAAAGAAAAAAAAUAUGCUCAUGAUCUUCAAUUAUAUCUGUUUGAGCUUAUCAAAAGCAACAUAUAAAAAUAGUCCCAAAGUGAUAGAUAUCCAAGGAAGAUAUAAUAAAAACUUUCAUCAAGAUCAUUGGAUAAAAUACACAUGAUUCUUAGUAAUGGUUUUGAGAUAUGACGAUAUGAUAUGUGAGUUAUGUUGAUGAGUAAUUGUGCUUUAGUAAGAAUAUAGAUGUUAAGGUUUGUGAUUCCCUUUGCAAGCACGAAAGUCAAUAGUUAUGCAAUGAAAUGUGUAUCCUACUUAUGGUGCAUUAUUCAGUGUUACUUAUGCUUAAUGCUUGCGUACGAGAUUUUUUGCUUUUUGGUUGGUCGCUUCUCAAUAUUUUUUCUAGCCUUCAUUUUGCACUAAGUAUGAUCACUACUUGUGCAUCCAGAAUCCUUUAAACCAGUUUUGCGUUAUGAGUCCACUAUAGCUACCUAUAUGCGAAAUUUCCAUGCCGUUCUAAGAAAAUUUGCAUGUGCCUUCUCUAAUUUUCAAAAUAUUUCUUUUGUGUGCUCUACCGCUCGCGAGGCGGUGAAGGGUGACCAAUAUUUUCCAUGCUAGAUAUGUUAUUCUCACGAUGAGUGUUUAUUCACUUGUCAUUGCACGAGAGUACAGCAAAGAUAUUAGGGAUGCCCUGUAUCGAAAUGAAUAAUGAAUUUACUUUGUGUUGUCAAAUAAUAAAUUCCUUGGAAAGUGUUGGUAUGGAGGGCAACCGUGGAUUCGGCUAGCCAUGGAAAGUGAAAGUAAUGGUGUAAAAAGGAAUAAACUUUAUUUUCUAUUUGGGAACUGCCUAUGAUGUAUCUAGCAUGAAAAGUAUUGCGAUCUCUAAGUCGUUUUCGUUGGUGGGAAAAGUAUGCCUCUCAAAAAUAUUUUUUAUCUCUCAAUUUAAGCUUUGAGCUCUGGCACCUUUACAAAUCCCUACUUCCCUCCGCGAAGGGCCUUUCUUUUACUUAUGCAAUUUUUAUUUUGAAUUUGAUUCUCCAUCUUCUCUUAUAAAGCACCAACUAAGGGGCACUAUGAUCGUAUUUGAGCAUUGGGUGUAGCUACUAUUCGAGUGUGUUUCAUGAUUGGAUCAAUGAUUGAGCAUAAUGGGCUAGGGAUAACUCGCUUUAAUGUUGAUAUUUUGAAAGACAUGGUUUCUUGUUGGUAUGCUUGAGUAUUAAAGUCUUCAUCUCAAAACUAGACUAUUGCUUUGAAUCAGAUAAAAGUCCAUAUGUCAAUGCUAUAAAGAAAAGAAAUGUGAUGAACAUGUUAGGAAGCAUUCCACAUCAAAAAUUCUGUUUUUAUCAUUUACCUACUCGAGGACGAGUAGGAAUUAAGCUUGGGGAUGUUGAUACGUCUCCAAUGUAUCUAUAAUUUUUUUAUUGUUCCAUGUUGUUAUAUUAUCAUUCUUGGAUGUUUUACACUCAUUUUAUAGUCAUUUUAUAUCAUUUUUGGUACUAACCUAUUGACAUAGUGCCCAGUGCCAGUUGUUGUUUUCUGCAUGUUUUUUACAUCCCAGGAAAUCAAUAUCAAACUGAAUCCAAACGCAGUGAAACUUCUUCAGGAUUUUUUUUGGGCUAGAAGACAUCCAGUGGGCCAAGGUUGCACCUGGGGGUGCCUCAAGGAGAUCAGCACCCACCGGGGCUCGCCAGGAGGCUCAGGCGCGCCCUGGUGGGUUGGGCCAACCUCGGGUGCCCCCUGAACCGCCUUUUUGCUCUAUAAAUACCCCAAUAUUCCAGAAACUCUAGGGGAGUCGACAAAAAUCAAUUCCAGCCGUCACAAAGUCCAGAACCACCAGAUCCAAUCUAGACACCAUCACGGAGGGGUUCACCACUUCCACUGUUGCCUUUCCGAUGAUGCGUGAGUAGUCCUUUGUAGACCUACGGGUCCGUAGUUAGUAGCUAGAUGGCUUCCUCUCUCUCUCUCUCUCUUGAUUAUCAAUACAAUGGUCUCUUGGAUAUCCAUAUGACGUAAGUCUUUUUGCGGUGUGUUUGUUGGGAUCCGAUGAACUUUGAGUUUAAAUCAGAUCUAUGAUCUUAUCCAUGAAAGUUAUUUGAGUCUUCUUUGAUCUCUUAUAUGCAUGAUUGCUUAUAGCCUCGUAUUUCUUCUCCGAUAUUUGGGUUUUGUUUGGCCAACUUGAUCUAUUUAUCUUGCAAUGGGAAGAGGUGCUUUGUGAUGGGUUCGAUCUUACGGUGCUUGAUCCCAGUGACAGAAGGGGAAAUGACAUGUAUAUAUCGUUGCUAUUAAGGAUAACAAGAUGGGGUCUAAUUCUACAUAAAUAGAUAUUGUCUACAUCAUGUCAUCGUUCUUAUUGCAUUAUUCUGUUUUUCCAUGAACCUAAUACACUAGAUGCAUGCCGGAUAGCGGUCGAUGUGUGGAGCAAUAGUAGUAGAUGCAGGCAGGAGUCGGUCUACUAAUCUUGGACGUGAUGCCUAUAUAAUGAUCAUUGCCUGGAUAUCGUCAUGAUUAUUCGAAGUUCUAUCAAUUGCCAAACAGUAAUUGUUUUCCCACCGUUUGCUAUUUUUUUCUCGAGAGAAGCCACUAGUGAAACCUACGGCCCCCGGGUCUCUUUUCAUCAUAUUUUCCUUUGCGAUCUAUUUUCCUUCGCAUUUAUUUUCAGAUCUGUUAAAUCAAAAACACAAAAAUACCUUGCUGCAAUUUAUUUAUUCCGCGAUCUGUUUAUCCUAUCUACCACUUUUAUCUCAUGUUAUUUGCCUAUCUUGGGGCGUCGUACCCGAAAGGGAUUGACAACCCUUUUAAUAUGUCGGGUUGCGAGUAUUUGUUAUUUGUGUGAAGGUGUUCUUUACGUGGUGUGAAGAGGUUCUCCUACUGGUUCGAUAACCUUGGUCUCAUCACUGAGGGGAAUACCUACCGUCGCUAUACUGCAUCAUCCCUUCCUCUUUGGGGAAAUACCAACGUAGUUCUAGCAGACAUCAAUCUCCCUCUAGGUUGAGACCAUUUCCAAAUGAAGUUUCUCCCUCCACAUAGAUUGUGGAGUUCAUUUUUGCAGAAAUUAUUUUUUAAUGGUCUCAUGAAUUCCCACAAAAUCAAGCUUUCUACUACCAAUAAUGUCUCUAAUAAAGUUUCUCUUGGUAUCAGGUCCAAUCCCCCUCACAUUCCAGAACAUGCCUAUCAUGGUAGCAACCAAGAUUUUUAGAAAUUACUUUAUUUUUUCCUUCUAUUAAGUCCUCCUAUUUUAACAGGUGACUUCCCAUAGGAUAAUCCUAGUGAGUCAGAGCUGCUUUUUCCCACUAGUAAAUAUGUUUUUGAGAUGAGAAAAAUAAUCCAUCUCCAAAGCAGAAUCAGAGUGAUCAUCAUCAGAACAUAGUUCUUUAAUAUCAAUAUCUCCAGUAUCAAUCAGCUCUAAGUUGUUAUCAUUAUUGGAAUCUCCUUUUUUGUUAAGUUUUUGAUUAUAAAAGUCUUGUCUACUCUGCUCCAUAUUUCUAAUAAUUUCUAUAUUCUGAUCCAGCAUCUAAAUAGAGCAUCGUAAAUCAAUCCUUACCUUGUCAGCCAUAAACAUCAAAGAAGUAUUAUCAUGAAGAAUUUCAGAAGAUUUACCAUAGUUAUCUUUAGCAGCAGCCCUUUCUUUAGCUAGAUCUUCAAUUUUUGCAUCUUGUUUGUCCACCAAUCUGUCACACCUCCUCAAGUUAUCUUCUGAAGUGUUAUCAGUCUCUUUUUCUUCACCUUCUCCCCCACUUUUCAUCCAAGCUUUGUGCCAAAGGGGACAAACUCCUGACUAGCAUUGUAAUCAACUGGUUCCACAUAAUUGUUAACACCCUCUUCCUGUUUAUUGCUUUCAUCGUUUUUAAUCUCAUCAUCAGUGAUCUCCUCCAAUUCUCUUUCUCUAGCUUCCCAGAAUUUAAUCUUGCUCACACAGGUGUCAAUGAUUGCUUGUUGCUUGUUCACCACAUCUAGCAAGUGUUUCCUUUCUUUUUCAAGAUCAGCAAUUUUGACCUCCUCUUUUGCUUUCAGGGCCUUUUGCCUAGCUCUUUCCUCCUACAGCUUGAAAAAAACUUUUCCUAGAUCAGCUUCCACUUUUUACCUGGCUUCCAUCUCUCUAAUGUGAUCCCUCCGGACAGCUUUCAAUUCUUCAUUAGUUUCCUUCAUCUCCUCAUAUUGACUUAGGCUCAUACUACCCAAACUGAUCAUCUCCUUUGUGCCUUCCACCUGAUAAUGAGACCAUUUGUGUCUUUUCCUCAUCUCCUCUUCCUGAUUACCCAACUCAACAUCUUCCAUGCCAUGUUUUUUCUGUUCACCAUACCAUCCAACUUCAACCACCAUCUGUAAAUCUGGUCUUACUCUAUAAAUCAUCAAGUUUUUGCCUGUGAUUUCUGUGUAAGCUGGAAUAUUCUCAUGAUCUCUGACUCCAACUUUAGCUCUGACCUCAUCUUGUGUGAUUGUGUUCAUAUCAAUUUCCAACACUGGUCCACUUCACUCAUUCCAAAAAAAGUCUGAAACAUUCAGGCACCUUAUCAAACUUGACCCACACAGUAUGUAACUUGCCAAUGGCAUGUGUGUCAAAACCCCAAUUACUAACAUUGAUAAUGGCCCCUAUGCCCAACAGAUUGAAGUCAUUGCACUGUAUCAGCUCCAUCAAUCUCCCUUUGCAUGGAAACCUCACCAGAAAAGUGUUAUCAAUUUGCCUCCUGCACCUCCACUGCCAAUUCCAAUUAAACAUAUAAUGCAUUCUGUCUAUCAACUGAGUCUCAUUCACUUCUCCUGACACCACUGUCACUAGUGCCAUGGGGUUGGGAUUUUCAACAUCCAGCACCUCCUUAGAACUUUGAACAAGAAGAACCCCAAGCCCUUUUGCAGCAUAACCUACAAAUUUUGGAACUGGCUUCAUCUGCUUCAACCAAUUACAAUCAUCAGUAGUAUGAUUAUUUUUUCCACAAAUCACACAGUGCCCCGGCAUACAAUCCUUGGUAGCAUGUCCAGGGUUCUUGGAUUUGUUGCACAGAUAGGUAGCAUUUCCACCCAUAGCAUUUCUCCCACCAUCUGUAUUAUUUCUUGGAUAUGAACUAUCUUUGUACUGUCUACUUCUCUGAAAACCAUCCUCUUUGUUACCAGUGUUGUUUUCAAACCAUCUCAUCCCUGCAGCUAUGUUUACCUCUCCUCUAGCAUGGGGCUCCUCCUUUCUUUGUUGAAACUCUCUGUCCAGCCUGAUCUGAGAACUGCUUUCCUCACCUCUCAUCUUCCCAUUCCCCCCAAGGACAGCAGAAUUCUGAGCAAGCUGGGCCAAAAGGUUGUUGAGCCAUACAUGUUGCUGCGUCAGAUAGGGAUGGCAAUGGGUAGGGUAUGGGCGGGUAUGACCUUCUUCUGCCCAAACCCAUACCCACAGAAACCUUCUAUACCCACCUGUUUCAGUACCCAUGGGCAUAAAUUGAUACCCAUGCCCAUACCCAUCGGGUAUCCUAUACCCAAUGGGUAUCCAAUGGGUACAAUCUAUGGUAUUUAAAAUUUUAAAAAGUAGAGAAAUGAGUCUAAAAUUCAAGUGACGAUGGGUGAGUAAUAUAGCAUCGAUGUGGCCUCCUCCGGUGAGUGGCAUCUUGGAUAAAUCAAGUGAUUAUGAGAAAUGGUUAGUGGUACCCCGAUGCUAUGAGAGGCGGCAAUGGGAAUUGGGGGUCGCUAGAUCGAGAGAUGGACAGGUGUUCGAUGAUGAUAAGUUGAGAUUUCAUCACUUCAAGGAGACACAUAUGACGUAGGAGGAGUAGCGAGCAAGUACCUGUGGCCCUAUUUGCUAUGGCCGGUUUAGGGAAUAAGAGAUUUAGGGUGGGCCAUGAGAGUUAGAUGUUGACUCCACAUAUCACAGGAGUUAGUUUCUUUUAACAUUGUUUGUGGGUAUCCAUUAGGUGACCCAUGGGCGCAAUUUCAUACCCAUGCCCUACCCAUAUAUUUUGCGGGUAUGGAUACCCAUUACCCGUGGGUACAAAACCUCUCCAAGUCUUGCCCAUGCCCAUUGUUUUCGGGUAGGGUACCCAUGGGUACCCAUACCCAUGGGCAAAACUGCCAUCCCUAGCGUCAGAUCCACUCCACUAGCUCCCUGAUUCAGCUCCCCCAUAUGCUUUUCUUUGGGAAUCAACCUAUCUUCCCCUUCUUUGGACUCCUUGGAUUUCUCCAAAUCAUCAUCUCCCAGCAGAUCUUUGGUCCCUUGCUUGUAGCUAGGGUUUCUGGAGUUGCGUGCCUUCGGAUUAAUCUCAUAUUUGUCUUUAUCAAAGGACUUGCGGGUGUAGUUCUCUCUCCCCCUCCUCACGUUUUUUGUAUUGCCAUCCUUCUCUUCCCCCUCUGUUGAAUCUCCCCCUCCCCCUCCAAAUAUGCCAAAGCCUCUGUUCAUGUGGUCUUCUCUCUCCGGCGGCUCACCCACGAACCCUAGUCUGGAUUCUUCUUCUCCGCUCUCACAUACAGAUAGAGGGAGAUGAGUAUUUAUAUAUAGAAGGGCCGGAGCUGGCUAGCCCAUUGGGCCUCUCCACCCCACCAAAAAAAGACCUCACCUCGUCACCCCUUGUUGGGCCUGGGUCUAAGGCCCAGUCCUCAACCAGCCCGUCCCCAAUCUUAUUAAUUUUUUUAUAUGUUUUUCUCCUCCCCCAUGGUUUAUUGCUGUGUAAUCAGCUUUAACCUCACAAUUCCCCACCACCAGAAUAUGUGAAUCCAACUCAAUCUCCGACUAGAAGUCUGGGAUGGGUACAAUAGAAUUCAUUUUGGAUUUAACCUCUUCUCCACUCAUAUAAAUCUUUUGAUUCAAAGUCACAUUGGCAAUUCGAUCGUUUUUCGUAAGAGUAUCAAAAUCAGGUGGCAAUGCAUCCUUAUUUUCAGAAAAAAAAAAUAUUAUUUCUAAUCACUUUAUUAUGAAUAGAUUUUCUUAGCAUUUUCCUCCUACUACCAUUCCCCUUAGUCUAAACAUCACCAGAAUCUGAAAGCAAAUAUUUGUCAGCUUGUGAUCGAGUAAUACCUGAAUCCUCUGACGAGCUCCCAGAAUCCUCGUCGGACUCCUCCCCAGCCAGCAACCAGAAGCGAUUGCCGGCGGGGGAGCAGCCUAAUCCGCAAUGUGCAAUGUGCAACGAUGUUCUGAAGUGCAGUCAAGAACGAAAAUGUUGAAGACAAGUUUUUAGCAAUAUCACAUUGGACAAUGCCUGGUGCCAUGAUUAAGUUGUUGAGAGCUAACUUGUUGGAAAAGCGCAUGCUAGUGGGCAAGGCAAGCUAAUUCGUACUAGACUACCAGUAUACAAAGCUAUGUAUUGUGGGUAGUUGGGUGAUCAAUCACGCAUCACGUUCUUACCUAUCUACUCUCAUUUGGCCCCAAGUGCAACUUGUACCAACUGAUCAACUGACUCGGUUAAGAUGCAUGCACAAUUAUGGUAGUGAACACAGACAAAGAAAGCAACAAGCAACGGGUCAAUAUUGAACUGUUGAAGCCGGUUGGUAGGCAGGUGAUACGUUGGCUAUAUAUAAACGUGGGCGGCCAAAUGUAGUAGUAUAUACUGAGAACUUGUCAGUGAGAACUUGACUCGAUUAGUCUUGUUUUAACAUAUAAUAUGGACUGAUCUAGAAAUAGGGCUCCUGCUCCCAGUAGCUUAGCUAGCUUUAUAAACCCCACCCCAUGGCCAACAUCCAAUCAUGUUGGGUCGGUCUCUGAUUCCUACCUACCUACAGUGUUGGCGCCAGCUAUGGACAGCACUAGUAUCGAGAUCCAAGAGAUGGUGAGGAAUACAAGUGACAGGCUGGAGGCCGAUUUCUCCAAGCUUGGAACCAAGAUCCACAAAUUCCCACGAGGCCUACGGCAGGGGAUCAACGAACGCUACAUCACCCCGAGCUUCGUGUCCCUCGGCCCAUACCACCAUGGCUCAACGCACCUCCGGGAGACGGAGGAGUUGAAGCACGCAGCGGCCCACUACCUGUGCCGGAAGUCGGGUCACACAGUCGAGGAAGUCUACAGCAAAAUCCUUUCCAUCGCCGGUGCAGCCCGCGGCUGCUACGCUGAUGAUGCGGCGGCAGGUAUCACCGACUCUGAAUUUGCAGUAAUGAUGUUCCUCGAUGGUUGCUAUCUGCUGCACUAUAUGGACAUGGAUUUCACACGUCCUAUGUUGACCAAUCGGAUGAUCUUGUCCACGGGACCUUGCAUGCUAAGGGAUAUCUUUCUAUUGGAGAACCAACUUCCUUGGUUGGUUCUAGAGGCUCUUACGGACAUUUUGAUGACAUCUCCUGCAUAUCAUUUUGUGGUUGGUUAUGCACAAUUUUUCAAUGUCACCCCUUCAUCAACUUCAGAUUCAAACACAAGGAUCACUAUGGAUGAACUCGAUAAGUACAAGCCGCCACAUCUCCUUGGGCUCCUCCGACACUAUCAGAUCGGCAAUAUGAUUGACGACGGUCGUAUUGACAAUCUCGCAUACUUCUCCUCAGCCAGUAGUGCCAUUGAGCUGGCGGAACUCGGCAUCAAGCUGACCGCCACCAACAAACCAUGGUUCGCAGACAUGAGCAUCCACAUAGACCACCUCUUCGGCCAGCUCUCCCUGACGCCAUUGUUCAUAGAUGACAUCACUGCUUGCUAACUAGUCAACAUGGCAGUUUACGAGGCGUAUAGUGGCUUGGGUAUGUGAAGAAGAUGAGGGUAUAGUAAUUGGCAGGUGGGGCCCACGUCUCAUUUGCCACAUUAGUUGGUCAAAGUUGUUGAUCUUCAAACCCGACAGGUGGGGUCAACCUAUUGUUUUCUUUGUUUUCGUGAGCAAAUCAGACAACUAGUGAUCCGCGUUAUAGGUUAGACGCAAAGUUGAUGGUUUUUUGUGCUCUAGGACAAGUGUGAUAUCAAGUUGUUACUCUAGCCCAACUGUGGUGGUUUUGCAUAAAUGACUCACUCUAGUGGAGAUCGGAUCCACUGAAAAGAAGGUUGCAUGUGCACUUGUACAAGUUGUACCUGCAGUGAUAAAAUAAUAACUACUAGUACUAGAAAAAUCUGCACUUCCUGAACCAAGACACGCAGCUAGCGCGCAUUUGGAGGUCAGCGCCUUGAUCGGCUACAACGUAACAGCAAGGCCACAUGCUCGAUCAGCCAGCUACAACGUGCUAACAACCGACGCCAAACAGGCAAGAUUCAGCUUCCCCUAUCCGUUUCCUGAGAUUUCAGCCCGAACCUGGACGCUGCGACUUGUACGCAAGUUCUCCGCUCGCUCCUACUCGCAGCACUGCAGGCUUCAUUCCAGAGGUAGUUCCUUUCCUGAAUUGGGUUCCUUGUUUAUUUCUUGAUUCUUGUCUAGUUUUUGUGUGAAAAGUUAGAAUCUUGCUGAUGUUGGGUCGCCCGUGAUUUCUACCGACAGGUGUUGGCGCCAUGAACCUCACUGGUAUCAAGAUCCAAGAGAUGGUGAGGAAUACGAGGGAGAGACUGGAGGCCGAUUUCUCCAAGCUUGGAACCAAGAUCCACAGGUUCCCACGAGGCUUACGAGGGGUCAACGAGCGCUACAUCGUCCCGAGCUUCGUGUCCCUCGGCCCGUACCAUCAUGGCUCACCGCACCUGCGGGAGACAGAGGAGUUGAAGCACGCGGCAGCCCACUACUUGUGCGAGAAGUCAGGCCGCUCCGUUGAGGAAGUCUAUGACAAGAUCCUCUCCAUCGGCACUGAAGCCCGCAGCUGCUACGCCGAUGGUGCAGUGGCGAAGUUCACGGACGCUGAAUUUGCGGUAAUGAUGUUCCUCGAUGGUUGCUAUCUGCUGCUCUAUAUUACUAACGAUCCUGGAUGUGCUUUACUGUUAAAUCGGAUGACCAUGUCCACAGGGCCUUGCAUGGCAAGGGACAUCUUUCUGCUGGAGAAUCAACUCCCUUGGAUGGUCCUCGAGGCUCUUUUGGAGAUUGUGACACCGUCUCCAGUGUGCAAUUUUAUUGUUCGUUCGGCAAUAUAUUUCGAUAUCAUCCCACGUCCAUCAAAUACAAGGGUUUCUAUGGAUGAACUCGAGAGGUACAGGCCGCCACAUCUCCUUGGUCUCCUCCGAUACUAUCAGAUCGGCAAUAUGAUUGCCGAAGAACGUACCAGCAAUGUCCAAUUCACCUCAUCUGGUAGUAGUGCCAUUGAGCUCGCAGAAAUCGGCAUCAAGCUAACUGCCAGCAACAAAACAUAGUUCGCUGACAUGAGCAUCCAUAGUGGCUGCAUCUUCAGCCAGCUCUCCCUGAUGCCAUUAUUCAUAAAUGACUUCACUGCUUGCUGGCUCGUCAACUUGGCAGCUUACGAGGCGUGUGUGUCCACCGGAUGGCCAUCCGAUGGCUUCGUCAUCAGCUCCUACAUCUCCCUCCUGGCGAUGCUCAUGGACAAGGAAGAGGACGUACACGAGCUGCGAGCGAAGCACCUCCUUCGCAGCUUCAUCAGCGACCAUGAUAUGCUCGUUUUCUUCAAGGGCCUGGCUCGCGACCUGCGCCUUGGCAGUCGCUACUACGUCAUCCCGGCAAAGAUCGACAAGUUCAAACGUGAAAGGCCCGUGAGGGUCGCCGUACAUAAGUUCGUCUACAACAACUUCAAGACGAUUGUCACCGUGCUCUCUAUUGUUGGUGUGCUCGCGGGUAUCUUCAGAACCUUGAUGAGUCUCAAGCAGCAUCAGCCGUAGCAACUCGGAUGAAGCAUGUGUGUUUGCUAAACUGAUUUCUGAUUCAUCUUCAGUUUUCAUGCUUAUUGUGGUGUGUCUUUGUGUGUAAAAUUUGCUAGCCCCUUGCCCUCGAUCAUGAGUUGCUCGUUUUCUUCAAGAGCCUCGCGUGCCACCUGCGCCUCGGGCGCCGCUACUUUAUCAUUACAGGGAAGAUUGACAGGUUCAAGCGUCGAAGACUUGUGAGUAUCGCUGUGCAUAGAUUCGUAUACAAAAACUUNNNNNNNNNNNNNNNNNNNNNNNNNNNNNNNNNNNNNNNNNNNNNNNNNNNNNNNNNNNNNNNNNNNNNNNNNNNNNNNNNNNNNNNNNNNNNNNNNNNNAACGGGGAGGACGAUGCCACCCGUCAUGGCCGUAAAGGGCCGGAUUCGGUCGAAGACCUGGCGACGAUCCUGUCCGGCCUGUAUAAGGGGGAGAAGGAGGAUUUCCUUCGGAUGAACCCGUUAAAUGGGUUCUCCAUGAAUAAUCCCCGGCCUUGGGUAAGCGAACACUCUGCGUGCCCGACUCAUGCUUUUUGAAACUUAAGUUUCUUAUAUUGUGUUCUUCUUUCGACGCAGGAACUGCGCCGAAUCGUGGAGGACAUGCUAAGUCCAGCUCCGCAACCCGAGGAUCCAGAGAGAUCCCGGGAUCCGGCCUCCGAAGAGGAUCCGGACAUAAAGGUGGAGCUAAUCGACGGGGUGUUCCACCAGCUCAGCAUGGACAAUGCCUUAGUCGCCAUCACGGCCGACUAUCCCGGACUAUAUCCGGCUUCCCAGGUGAUUGCGACCGAAGUCCUGACACCGUCAUUCCUUCCUUGCUUAUUUCUGACCACCGUAUAUGAUGGCGCCGUGCAGGAGGCGCCCCUAGGGCGAGAAGCCGAGCUCGCGGUGGCUGACCAACAAAGGCCAGUCCGGACCAGUAGGCGGAAGAGGAGCGCGGCGCGGACUGAAACGUCACCGCAAAGGUGUUGCUCACAAUUCAUUAUUUAGAGCAACAUUCCUAGGAAGCGUUUGAGUGCUCAUGACUUUUGUAGGGAAAAAAGCGCCUGCCGGACUGCGGGCGUGGAGGUUGCCAAUCCAACCUCUACCAGCCAGGCUCCAGCACCUGGUCUGGAGGGGGAGGCGUGCGCAAGGCGCGAGCCGGACGUUCCUCCGACGGAGGAUGCCGACAGACUGUCCGCCACCAAGUCUGAGGUGGAGAGUGCCAUGAAUCACAGGCGCCGCCGGACAGUAUUUCGUGACGCGUGCUUCUCCCCCGAGGCGUUGAAUGCCUUUAACACGGGGGACGCGCACCUUCGUGCUGCUCAAGAUGGUUUUACCAGAGCCACGGAGCAGUAUGUAAAAGACAUACGGGUAAGAGAAUUUAAUAGUUGUAUAUGCCAGUAGCCCCCGAGAUUUAAAGUAGUUAUAUUAACUGAUUUAAGGAUCAUAUGAAACGUAGGAUCUUACCGAGAAGAAUACCCAACUGUCUCAGGAGCUGCAGGAGUGCAAGGCCCAACUUGAGGCCGCACUCUCUGGCGCAGGAGGAAACACAGGGACCUCUCCUGGUAACGCAUUAUUUUAGAAAGAUAAGUAGCGUUUGGCCUUUACGCAAGUCUAAAAAAUGACGUUGCAGGUGCUGCCGGACAAGAUCCGGACAGGCAAGAACUUUUGCGCCAACUGAAGGCCGGUGAGAGGGUGUUGCAUAAGGUGCAGCAUGAAAGGAACAAGCUCCAGGAUGCCCAUGCCCAGCUUGGAGAAGAGCUGAAAGGCGUUCGGGCCGAGCUGUCGGGCUCCGUUAAGGAGAAUCGGCGGCUUCGUCGCGGCAUCUAUAGUAAGUGCUUGAGCGAACUCCUUUGAAAAGAAGAGUUCGGCGAGGAAGUCGAUUUGACACAAUAUGUCUGCUGGUAUGCUCACAGGUCGCCCUGCGGAGGAGAUGCCCGUAUCAACGGGUGAUCAACUUCUCGAAUUGUUGCAACUGAUCGAAUGAGUUCGGCAGGCAAUGAGCGGCGUCAUCCAGGCUUUAUGGCCAGCCUUCUCCUUACCCGAGGGUCUUGGGGAGCUUGCAGAGAAGCUUCAGGGAGUGCGGCAGCGCUUCCAUUUAUGGAAGAUUUCGGCCUGCCGCCAAGGUGCCAGGGAGGCCUGGGCCAUGGUAAAGACACGGUACAAGAAGGCGGAUCCCAACCACAUGGCCGAAGUCGGACCUGUGGGGCCCGAUGGGAAGGAGAUCCCUGUGAGUUUAGUAUACGGCCAAGUAGAGUUGGCCGCUAAAUUUUCCCAACAGGACUGUAAAUUAUACAACCUGGUAGACAGGAUUGAGGAAGAAUACAAUCAGUGGAUUUGACAAUGUAUUAUAAAAUGACAUAUAAAAUGCCUUCUAGCCGGAUUGUAGAUCGUUUGUCUUUGCCGACCUUUUCGCUUCGACCUCGGGACCCUAGAGUCCGGAGUGUGUCCGAAUACCUUCUCCAUUAUGAAAGAACCGGGGUAUGCAUGGAGACCAGGCGUAGGGGUCAUUAGUGCUUUAUCAGACAAGUGUCCAACUAGUUAUGUUAUAUUACAUGGGUAGUAAGAAACAUCUUCCAGGGAGAAUAGUUCCGUUAAGGGUUCCUUUCCUCUGGGGGUGGCAUGCCCUAAAGUGCAUGUCAGGACUGCGAAAAAAAGCAGAAAAACAUCUGGGGGGCAGAUAAAUAAGUGGAUAAAAACCAUCUUUUAAGUCACCGACCGAAUAUUCCCUUAAGAACGCUAGCUUUCGGCUUCACCCAGUCUGAGGUACACAUCCGGCUGACCCGGCAGUAACAAUUGCAGAGGUGCUCCCUUUACCUCCUAGCCGAACAAUCGGGAACGUAGGGGUAAGCACAGGAGCCAGGCAACCCAGCUUGGCCAAAACUUAAGUCAUAUCGAUGCAUAUAAUGGUGAAUAAAAGGUACAUGUGGAGGCUUGACACAUGUGCUGGGCAUGAAGCCCUUAUAAUUAAGCUUCUGGUAAAGAAGCCCCCAGGUAUAAUGAGUGCGGAUAGCACAUCAAUUGCGCGCGAACGAUGCGCAAGUAGGCCUUUAAGGCUUUGAUGAAUAGGGUUGAGAAGAAAAAGAUAAACAAAAGGCAGCUGAAGUAAAAAAAUUUGGACGGGGGGAAAGGGACGAACUCUUAGUCCGGCGCUAGGCAUAGAAUCUUCGGAGGCGGGCUGCGUUCCAUGGGUUCGGCUCGAGUCGGUUAUCCGACGUAUUUCGUAGACGGUACGCUCCGCCGGUCAAGACUUUAUCGAUGAUGAAGGGGCCUUCCCAUUUGGGCUUGAGCUUGUCCUUUUUCUUGUCCGGCGGGCGUAGAACCAGUUCGCCAACGUUGUAAGUCUUGGCCCGUACUUCUCUGCUUUGGUAUCUUUGAGCAUGCUGCUGAUAAAAUGCGGAACGAGCCUUGGCGACGUCGCGUUGUUCCUCCAAUGCGUCCAAGCUGUCCUGCCGAUCCAACUCGGCUUCUCUUUCUUCGUACAUGCGCACUCGAGGUGAGUCAUGAAUUAUGUCGUAGGGCAAAACUGCUUCUGCGCCGUAUACCAUAAAAAAUGGUGUGAAUCCGGUAGUACGGUUAGGCGUUGUCCGCAGCCCCCAGAGUACGGAGUCGAGCUCCUCUACCCAGUGUGUGUUAGAUUUCCUAAGGGACCGCACUAGUCUGGGUUUGAUGCCGCUCAUUAUUAGACCAUUUGCUCGUUCCACUUGACCGUUGGUUUGAGGAUGAUAGACUGAAGCGUAAUCGAGCUUGAUGCCCCUAUUUUUGCACCAUGAUUUAACCUCAUCGGCCGUGAAGUUCGUGCCGUUAUCGGUGAUGAUGCUGUGGGGGACACCAUAACGGUGUACUACCCCAGAUAUAAAGUCUAUCACUGGUUCGGACUCUGCCGUUUUAACUGGCUUGGCCUCUAUCCAUUUGGUGAAUUUAUCCACCAUGAACAAUAGGUACCUUUGCUUGUGGGUUCCCCCUUUAAGUGGUCCAACCAUGUCAAGCCCCCAGACCGCGAACGGCCAGGUAAUGGGUAUAGUUUUGAGGGCGGUGGGUGGCAUGUGGCUCUGAUUAAUAAAGAGCUGACAACCGACGCAUCUUCGGACUAAGUCCUGAGCAUCUGCCCGGACCGUCGGCCAAUAAAAUCCUGUACGGAAUGCCUUUCCUACAAGGGCCCGGGCUGCGGCGUGGUGUCCGCCUAGUCCGGCGUGAAUUUCAGCCAGAAGGUCUCGCCCUUCCUCUUCGGAGAUACACCUUUGAAGGACUCCGGUUGUGCUUUUCUUAUAGAGUUCUCCCUCAUGGACCUUGUAGGCUUUAGAUCGCCGGACUAUGCAGCGGGCCUCAUUAUGGUCUUCGGGGAGUUCCUGCCUAAGCAAGUAGGCUAGGAACGGCUCUGUCCAUGGGGCGAUUACUGCCAUUAUGUCGUGAGCUGAGGGUGUUGUUUCGUCGGCUGGAUCGCCGGUUAUGUCAGAUUAUCCUGCGGCUGCCUCCGGUUUGUUAUUUCCGGACUCCUCUUCCCAUAGUACGGAUGGCUUGAACAGCUGUUCCAGGAAGAUAUUUGGAGGGACAGCGUCAUGUUUUGCGCCGAUGCGUGCCAAUAUGUCGGUCGCUUGGUUAUUAUCUCUGGCUACGGGGUGGAAUUCAAGUCCUUCGAACCGAGCUGACAUUUUAAGGACGGCGUUGCGAUAGGCUGCCAUUUUUGGAUCCUUGGCGUCAAAGUCUCCAUUUACUUGGGGUAUUGCCAGGUUUGAGUCCCCGCGCACCUCUAGGCGUUGGAUGCCCAUGGAGAUUGCCAUCCGGAGGCCAUGUAAGAGGGCCUCGUAUUCGGCUGCGUUGUUGGAGUCCGUCUACAUUAUCUGGAGUACGUAUUGGACUCUGUCCCCGGUUGGGGACGUUAGUACGAUGCCAGCCCCCAAUCCGGCCAACAUUUUGGAGCCGUCGAAAUGCAUAAUCCAAUUGGAGUAUGCGCCGUACUCUUUAGGGAGUUCGGCUUCAGUCCACUCAGCGACAAAGUCAGCCAAAACUUGCGACUUUAUAGCUCGCCGGGGUUUGUAAGUUAUGUCGAAUGGUAAGAGCUCAAUGGCCCAUUUUGCAAUCCUGCCCGUUGCGUCGCGGUUAUUUAUAAUGUCAUUUAGGGGUACUUCGGAGGCCACUGUUAUAGAACACUCUUGAAAGUAGUGUCGGAGCUUCCGGGAUGCCAUGAACACCGCAUACGCUAUCUUUUGAUAGUGCGGGUAACGGGACUUGCAUGGGGUUAAAACAGUGGAUACAUAGUACACUGGUUUUUGAAGAGGGAAUUUAUGCCCUUCUGUCUCUCGUUCUACGACGAGCAUCGCGCUUGCUACUUAAUGUGUUGCCGCGAUGUAUAACAACAUAGGUUCGCCCAGGUUGGGCGCAGCCAGGACCGGAUUCGUUGCCAAUAUGGUCUUUAUUUCUUCGAGUCCGGCAGUGGCAGCAUCCGUCCACUCGAAGUGUUCGAUGUGCCUAAGGAGGCGAUAGAGGGGCAAUGCCUUUUCUCCUAGGAGGGAGAUAAAGCGGCUGAGAGCCGCCACGCCUCCAGUCAAUUUCUGGAUUUGUUCGAGGUUUUUUGGAAUAUCCAACUGCGAUAGGGCUCGGAUCUUGGCCGGAUUUGCUUCAAUUCCUCUACCAGAUACAAAGAAGCCCAAGAGCUUUCCGGCUGGUACGCCGAAAAUGCAUUUUUCCGGAUUCAGCUUGAUGUCAUAUGCUCGGAGGUUGUCGAAUGUGACCCUCAAGUCGUCUACUAGAGUUUCGACGUGUUUGGUUUUGACGACUACGUCGUCUACGUAUGCCUCUACUGUUUUGCCGAUCUGGGUAGCCAGACAUGUCUGAAUCAUGCGCUGAUAUGUUACGCCGGCGUUUUUAAGUCCGAAGGGCAUCGUGUUGAAGCAGAAUGGUCCAUAUGGAGUAAUGAACGUCGUUGCGGCUUGAUCCGCUUCUGCCAUCUUGAUUUGAUGAUAGCCGGAGUAUGCGUCCAGGAAGCACAAUGAAUCGUGCCCUGCAGUGGCAUCGAUGAUUUGGUUGAUGCGGGGGAGGGGGAAGGGAUCCUUUGGGCAGGCUUUAUUUAGAUCUUUGAAAUCGACACAUAGGCGCCAGGAUCUGUCCUUCUUUGGUACCAUUACCAGGUUUGCUAGCCAAUCCGGAUGUUUGAUAUCUCUGAUGAAUCCAGCUUCCAAUAGUUUGGCUAGUUCUUCUCCCAUUGCCUGUCUUUUGGGUUCGGAAAAUCGUCGAAGAGCCUGUUUGACUGGCUUGAACCCUUUUAGGAUGUUUAGGCUAUGCUCUGCCAGCCUGCGAGGGAUUCCUGGCAUAUCUGAAGGAUGCCAGGCAAAAAUGUCCCAAUUUUCCCGAAGGAAUACUCGCAGCGCGGCGUCUACAUCAGGGUUCAACUGUGCCCCGAUGGAGGCCGUCUUUGUCGGGUCCGUUGGGUGGACCUGGAAUUUUAUAAUUUCGUCCGCUGGUUUAAAGGGGGUGGACUUGGAUCUCUUAUCGAGUAUCACGUCGUCUCUGUGCACCGUAGCGCGCAGCGCGGUGAGUUCCUCUGCCGCUAGGGCUUCGGAUAGUGCCUCCAGGGCUAAUGCAGCUAUUUUGUUUUCGGCACGGAGUGCAUUGUCCGGAUCACUAACGAGAGUGAUUAUCCCACCGGGCCCAGGCAUUUUGAGCUUCAUGUACCUGUAAUGGGAUACGGCUUGGAAAAUUGUGAAUGCCUCUCGUCCUAAUAUAGCGUGGUAUCCGCUGCUGAGCGGGGCCACUUGGAACGUGAUUUCUUCGGACCUGUAAUUGUCCGGCGAGCCGAACACCACAUCGAGUGUGAUUUUUCCGAUGCAGCAUGCUUCCUGGGUAGGGAUUAUUCCUUUGAAGGUUGUGCUACUUCGCUGAAUGCGGCUCCAGUCUAUUUCCAUUUUUUGAAGAGUUUCCUCGUAAAUGAGGUUCAAUCCGCUGCCGCCAUCCAUGAGUACCUUGGUAAGUCGAAAGCCGUCCACUAUUGGACUGAGGAUCAAUGCGGUUGGUGUUCGGGCUGUUCGGAAUUUAGGUUCGUCGCUGGCGUUGAAGGUGAUGGCCGCGUCGCUCCAAGGAUUUGUUGUUGCUACUUGGUAGACUUCGGCAAGGCUGUGGAUCGUUCGUUUCCGCAUAUUGUUUGAUGCGAAAGUCUCGAAGACGGUUGAUACCGUACCAGUAUUGUUGGUGUGGUUUCGCGGGGCUAGAAGCUCCUCGCCACUUUUGGCCACCUGCCGUAAUAUCCAACAUGCACGAAGGCUAUGUGUUGGGGUGGCGCCCUUGGUACUGUGAAUUGUACAGGGUUUGCUGAGCCAUCCAUCCAGUACUGUUCCGUUCCCUUUAAGGGGCUUCUGUUUUUUGGUUCCUGUACUUGGUGCCUGAGUGUAAUGCACCCUUUUGUUGCGGACUGGGGCUAUGUUCGGGGCCGGAUUAUCCCAAAACCUAUCUUCGGUUUUCCAGAAACUUUCUAUGGCACAGUACUUUCGCACUAUGGAUGCCAAGUCGGCGAAGCGCGUGAUUUCACGAUGGCUGACGGCGUUCAAGAUUCCCCUGUCCGUGCAAUUGUUGCAAAAGAUCGAGAUUGCAUUUUCCUCUCGGCAGUCCUUUAUCCGGUCCAUGACCAGGAGGAAUCUGGCCCAGUAAUGAUGUACUGUUUCGGCUGGCUCUUGCCGGAUUAGAGAUAAAUCGCAUAUAUCUGGACGGGCGGGCCUAAUUGAGCCCGGGACCCUGCCCAUCUCGAGGCUCAAGGGCCGAGAAGUUUCCGAAUUUGGAAGCUUGGAAAGUGGAACAUUGUCCAACGGGUCCGGUCCGAUGCCUGACUUUAUGUUCAGUGCUUGAUCGGAAUCCGCUCCUCCGCGGGAAUCCGGCAUGGAGGGUUCGGUAGCCCGGACACGACUAGUUUUCAAUAUGGGAGAAGGAUCGUCGCGAUGUUCCUCUACCACCGUGACGUGGUGGGUAACCUGGGGAGAGUUAAUCUCUCUCAGAUCGGUUUUAAGCCCGAUCCGACUGUAGUCUGUAGCGACUCCCAGGGCGGCGAUCUGAUCCAAGAGUUCGUUUACAGAUGAGAGCUCUGCUGGAUCUAACUGCUCGGCGAAUUCCGAGUUGACGUGAAGAUUGCUCUCGAUGACACGAGAGGUCAUCGUUGAAGCGGUGGCCGGACAGGCGGUCAUAAGAAAACCUCCUAGCCGGAUAGUUUGGCCGGCGGCCAAGGCUUCAUCGGCGAAGGUGCCGUCCUUGAAGACGGGAAGAGGCAUCCUUCCUAUCGGUGACGGCACAGAGGAACUCUCAAUGAAAGCACCAAUGUCGGUGUCAAAACCGGCGGAUCUCGGGUAGGGGGUCCCGAACUGUGCGUCUAGGCGGAUGGUAACAGGAGACAAGGGACACGAUGUUUUACCCAGGUUCGGGCCCUCUUGAUGGAGGUAAAACCCUAUGUCCUGCUUGAUUGAUAUUGAUAUUGUGGAUGUUUACAAGAGUGGAUCUACCACGAGAUCAAGGAGGCUAAACCCUAGAAGCUAGCCUAUGGUAUGAUUGUAAUGGUUGUUGUUGUGUCCUACGGACUAGAGCCAUCCGGUUUAUAUAGACACCGGAGAGGGCUAGGGUUACAUAGAGUCGGUUACAAUAGUAGGAGAUCUACGUAUCCGUAUCGCCAAGCUUGCCUUCCACGCCAAGGAAAGUCCCAUCCGGACACGGGACGAAGUCUUCAAUCUUGUAUCUUCAUAGUCUUGGAGUCCGGUCGAUGAUGACGAUAGUCCGGCCGAUGAUAGUUCGGCCGAUGAUGGUAGUCCGGCUAUCCGGACACCCCCUAAUCCGGGACUCCCUCACUAAGGGAUAUCUUUCUACUGGAGAACCAACUUCCUCGGUUGGUUCUAGAGCUCUUACGGACUUUUUUAUGCCAUCUCCUACAUACGCUUUUGUGGUUGGUUAUGCAGAAAUUUUCAAUGUCACCCCUUCAUCAACUUCAGAUUCAAACACAAGGAUCACUAUGGAUGAACUCGAUAAGUACAAGCCGCCACAUCUCCUUGGGCUCCUCCGACACUAUCAGAUCGGCAAUAUGAUUGACGACGGUCGUAUUGACAAUCUCGCAUACUUCUCCUCAGCCAGUAGUGCCAUUGAGCUGGCGGAACUCGGCAUCAAGCUGACCGCCACCAACAAACCAUGGUUCGCAGACAUGAGCAUCCACAUAGACCACCUCUUCGGCCAGCUCUCCCUGGCGCCAUUGUUCAUAGAUGACGUCACUGCUUGCUAACUAGUCAACAUGGCAGUUUACGAGGCGUAUAGUGGCUUGGGUAUGUGAAGAAGAUGAGGGUAUAGUAAUUGACAGGUGGGCCCCACGUCUCAUUUGCCACAUUAGUUGGUCAAAGUUGUUGAUCUUCGAACCCGACAGGUGGGGUCAACCUAUUGUUUUCUUUGUUUUCGUGAGCAAAUCAGACAACUAGUGAUCCGCGUUAUAGGUUAGACGCAAAGUUGAUGGUUUUUUGUGCUCUAGGACAAGUGUGAUAUCAAGUUGUUACUCUAGCCCAACUGUGGUGGUUUUGCGUAAAUGACUCACUCUAGUGGAGAUCGGAUCCACUGAAAAGAAGGUUGCAUGUGCACUUGUACAAGUUGUGCCUGCAGUGAUAAAAUAAUAACUACUAGUACUAGAAAAAUCUGCACUUCCUGAACCAAGACACGCAGCUAGCGCGCAUUUGGAGGUCAGCGCCUUGAUCGGCUACAACGUAACAGCAAGGCCACAUGCUCGAUCAGCCAGCUACAACGUGCUAACAACCGACGCCAAACAGGCAAGAUUCAGCUUCCCCUUUCCGUUUCCUGAGAUUUCAGCCCGAACCUGGACGCUGCGACUUGUACGCAAGUUCUCCGCUCGCUCCUACUCGCAGCACUGCAGGCUUCAUUCCAGAGGUAGUUCCUUUCCUGAAUUGGGUUCCUUGUUUAUUUCUUGAUUCUUGUCUAGUUUUUGUGUGAAAAGUUAGAAUCUUGCUGAUGUUGGGUCGCCCGUGAUUUCUACCGACAGGUGUUGGCGCCAUGAACCUCACUGGUAUCAAGAUCCAAGAGAUGGUGAGGAAUACGAGGGAGAGACUGGAGGCCGAUUUCUCCAAGCUUGGAACCAAGAUCCACAGGUUCCCACGAGGCUUACGAGGGGUCAACGAGCGCUACAUCGUCCCGAGCUUCGUGUCCCUCGGCCCGUACCAUCAUGGCUCACCGCACCUGCGGGAGACAGAGGAGUUGAAGCACGCGGCAGCCCACUACUUGUGCGAGAAGUCAGGCCGCUCAGUUGAGGAGGUCUACGGCAAGAUCCUCUCCAUCGGCACUGAAGCCCGCAGCUGCUACGCCGAUGGUGCAGUGGCGAAGUUCACGGACGCUGAAUUUGCGGUAAUGAUGUUCCUCGAUGGUUGCUAUCUGCUGCACUAUAUGGACAUGGAUUACCAGUAUGCUUUAUUGUACAAUCGGAUGACCCUGUCCACGGGACCUUGCAUGCUAAGAGAUAUGUUCCUGCUUGAGAAUCAGCUUCCUUGGUUGAUUCUAGAGGCUCUUACGGACUUUUUUAUGCCAUAUCCUGCAUACUACAUUGUUAUUGGUUUGGCGAAAAAUUUUGAUAUCACCCCACAAUAUUUAUCAGAUUCAGAUUCAAAUGGUGCAAGGGUUUCUGUUGACGAACUCAAGAUAUACAGGCCGCCACAUCUCCUUGGGCUCCUCCGGUACCAUCUGAUUGGUGAUAUGACUGGAAAAGAUCAUACUCACAGUCUCACUUGCUCCUCACUAGCCAGCAGUGCGACUGAGCUCGCGGAAAUCGGCAUCAAGCUGACCGCCAACAGCAAGACAUGGUUUGCAGACAUGAGCAUGCAAAGAGACCCUAUCUUGUGCGGCCAGCUCUCACUGGCACCAUUGUUUAUAAAUGAUGCCAAUGCAUGCUGGCUCGUCAACAUGGCAGCUUAUGAGGCCUGCGUGUCCAGCACAACUCCAGCAGAUGGCUUCGUCAUCAGCUCAUACAUCUCCAUACUGGCAAUGCUCGUGGACAAGAAAGAGGACGUGCACGAGCUGCGGACGAAGCACCUCGUUAACAGCUUCUUCAGCACCCAUGAGCUGCUCGUUUUCUUCAAGGACCUUGCUCGCCACAUGCGCCUCGGCUACCGCUACUUUGUCAUCACGGAGAAGAUUGAGAUGUUCAAGCGUGAAAGGCCUGUGAGGAUCGCCGUGCAUAGGUUCGUAUACAACAACUUCAAGACGAUCAUCACUGUGCUCUCUGUUGCUGGUGUGCUCGCAGGUAUCUUCAGAACCUUGAUGAGUCUCAAGCAGCAUCAGCCGUAGCGGUUCGCGGUGAAGCAUGUGCGCUGUCAAAUUAUUUUGUGAUUCAUCUACAGUUUUCGUGCUUAUUGCAGUGUGAUCGAUGUCGUACGUACGGACUCCAUGUGUAAAAUUAUCCCAUCACAUCCACCUUGUUUUGAUCCCUUACUAGAUCUACAUGGUGUGACAUAUCCAAUCACAGUAUAUGUAUUAUGUAUAUCCUGUGUGUAUACCUGCUUGUGCUAUCAUUAGAAAUCUGUCUUAGUCAGCCCCUUCCCUUCGAUCGCCUCUUAGUUUGGUGUGUGUCGAAUGCACCUGUUUUCCAAUUCUACACAUGUUUAUAAGACGAUAAUCACAGAUAUAGCAUCCUGAAGUCUCUUCUCUUGGAUCAUCGAUUCGAUCUAAUUGUACUAUUUUACCCAAACGGAGGGACUGGACUUACCACCGCCACUCUUCUUAUUCUCGAACCCUGUUUGACGGUGUAUCCCCAGAACAGAUAGUGGACAAUCCAUGCUCAUGCAGUUUUGACAUGGAUAGGAAGAUACACAUGGAUGGACGUUCGCUAGUCAGACUAAGAGAUUCCAAUCAUUUCAGGUCGAUCUCAAAACAAUACAACACCUAAAAGAUAUAAAACCAAGGGACCAAUUGAAAAGCAAUUGCGGCAAAUGAUUCGGGUUAUUGCAGACAUGCACAUAUUAACAGCAAAAAGAAAAGGUAACACAACACAAUCACAGACAGUUUGUCAUUCAAGAUACACAUUUAAAAACAAACACCAAGUUAGAAAGUGAAAAAAAAACAGGUCACACAAAUGAAGAUGGUCACACAAAAGGAGUACUGAACUAGAAUGUCACCAGUAGAGAAUGGCUUCUAGAGCACAACAUGGAAAUAAAUCCCAUCAGAGCCUGCCUCUAUAUAUACUGUCAGAAUACAUAUGCUGGCUCUCGCUUAUUGGAUGGGUGGAUACUACACUGGAAAAUCACCCUCUUGCAAUGUUGGCUCCAUUUUACAACGCAAAUCGGUCCCAGACUACAGCAAGCCGUGCUCAUUUACCUAACCAAAGGGAGCUGCCUGUGCAAAAUUAGAACUGUGAAGUGCUUGCUUGGACUCUGCUGUUCUGUGCGCUCUAUACUCAAACAUACUAUCAUGCAAUGUAACAUAUCUGUCGUCCUCAUCAACUCUCACAUGGUAUCAGACUCCUAGCCCGGGCUAGGAAUCUGAUACCAUGUUAGAAUUGAUAAAAGACGACACGUACAUCUUCAUUGCGAGACAAUAGGCCCAAAUAUAUAACACACAAGUGCAAAAGAGACCAAAUCAAAGACAACACAUUACUAAUCCUGUACAAACUAACCACAGCACAACUGAUGUGCUACAACAAACAAACUCCUACAUGACACACAAAUGAAUCCUAGACCAGUCAUGUUCAUUUACCUAAGCAAUCCAUAAAUGUUUGUACAAAAUUAGCAAUGCGGAGCAAUCGAUUGGACUCUGAUGUUCCUCGUGCUCUAUAUUCAAACAUACCACCAUACAAUGAAAUAUAUGUGUUAUAAUUUUCUACCCAACUUGGUAAUCAGAGCCAUAGCAUAAAGGGCUAAAGCUAAGAUAUCUAGUUAGGAUUGAUAAAAACAACACAUGUUCACUGGGUGACAAUAUGCCAAAAUAUAAAAAAGAGGCAUACAAGAGACCCAUCAAAGACAACACAUGACCUAAUGUUGUACUAAGACCAGUGACAUAAACAAAGCACAGCUGAUGUGGUGCUAAACUGGAUACAGAUAAAGUUGCGAGGAUGUGAUGCUACACUACAUUCUAAUAAAGUUGGCAAGAGCACAGCACUUAUAAGUGAUAUCCUGCUUCAUUCACUAUAUAAGAAACAAGAGAGUUCACAAGCUUUGGCCUAUUUUUUUCAACAAUUAGCCAUAUAAUGUGUUUAUUUGGACCUCAGUGUCCCAUAUAUUUGGUCUACCAUGUAAAUAUGUCGGUAUGUGUACUUCAAUGGUAAGCAUUGUAUCAAAGCAAUAACCAGAAGAUACCACUGAUGCAUUAGCAUUGUAAUUUGUAAGCCAACAAAGCUAUAUAGGAAGUACAAGUACACAGGGAACUAAAUACAAGACUACUCCACAGGCAAUGAAUAGCAUCCUAGAGCACAAACUAGAAUGUAAAACAGUGCCAGUUAUAGUGCAGUGAAACGGCCAGCAUGAAUAAGCUACAAUCAUUACUGUAAAAAACAGACAAGCAAGAUAGUCAUAGAAUGUCUACACUACUGAUCACUAACAAACGAGGCCUAGCAGAAUGCACAAGCAAGAACCAGAACACCACAAGAGCAAGAUAGAUUAUACCAAAAUCAUUACAAAACAAUAAUAUUAAGACACAACAGACAGCAUAUCUCACGAAGUAAUAACGCGGAACAAAAUUCCAACAAAGAUCUAUUCUUCACAUGAUUCAACACAUGAAACACCAUCAUAUCUCAUAAGAUCCACGCUAAACACAGAGUCUUCAUGGGCAAUUACCAAAACAGGGACGGAUACCAAGAGCAAGCAGCUAAAAAUGUAAACGGGUUCAGGUAGUAACGGCAGAGAAACGCCCUGCGCGGUCGGCCUGCAGGCCUAGAAGCGGAGCUUGGUGAAGAACCACCUGUUCUUGCCGGUCUUGAACCUCUCCUCGAGCUUGGCCUUGGCGGCCUUGGCGGCGCCCACCUUCUUGUCCUUGGAGGUGAGGGAGUCGGGCGCGCCGGAGGCCACCUCCUUGAGGUCGACGUCGAGGGUGUAGCGGGUGGGCAUGAGGUGGGUGAAGUUGACGAGCUUGAGGAACACCUUGACGCGGGACUUCUUGGCCGUCUUCUUGGCCGAGUCCUUGCGGAUCACCUUCUUCGGGUACUUGGCCAGGCCGGCGACGAGGCAGUGCCCGUAGGGGCGGUCGCGGGUGCCCUCCU